UUGAAACCAUUUUGCAGUCAGCUCUAUAACGAAACCUUGAAGCCAUUUUGUAUCAAUAUUUGCAGUAGGUUUCAAUCUAAUGACACUUCCUCGGCAGGACAACAACGACCAACACUACCAGUUUAGAAGGGGGCUUCUUCAAAUGUUUCACCUUACACAGUACUACAGUAGCAAGCAAUCAUCUCAUGUACACGCAGUAAUUUUGAAAAGUAACAGAGAAAACAUAUUAGUGUCCAGAUUUCUUUGCUUGAAAUAGUGCUAAUUACUGUCGUCAAAUUUCAUCUUAUUCUUUUUAUUCCCUCACAUGCAUUGUUUUAUUGAUAUUAUACAAGAAAAUGCGUUGUUCAAUAUUAUGCAAAUAUUUUUUUUUUCUCAAAUAAUUUAAAUUUCAAAGAUUGCAAUGAAAUUUAAUUUAAGGAUUGCCCUUGAGCACUGUCAGCUACGACUCCAGUUUCCUGCAACAAUGAAAAAUUCUGUAAUAGUAAAAAGUCUCUCUUUUUUCGCAAUAUUAAGUCAAUAAUUUGAAAGGCAGAUUUAACAACAGGUUGGCCUAAUUUCAAAAUUUAAUCCAUGUAAUAUAGAAAGAAGACUAGUUCAAUGUAUAUGAGUCCACCAAAAAGUUAUUAAAAAUUUAGGAUUAAACACUUGGAAAUGGCAAUUAGGUACUACCUCAAGAGAUUUUACUGCUUGAACCAACCAAGGGGGUAUGUUUGCAAUUGUUGUGACUAAGUAUAAAUAGAUGGUUGGUCAGUGGUAAGAACCAGCCUUCUAGCAUCUUUGGGCACAAAGAACUCAAGAAAAAAGCCCACAUGAGACACAAGACCCAAUGCUCAGCAUGCAGCAAGCUUAUCUAGAUUCAGGUGCUUUAUGGAUCAAAUUCACAUUACAUGAAAAGUUCACUAUUCAGAAUGGCACUCUGUAUGACAGCAAAGAGAUAAGUGGAAGAAAAAAAUCUGAAAAUCAACAUACCUUUUUCUUUGUGAUUAGGUAGUCGAACCCCACUAGCUCGCUUAUUUCAAGCAGCCAGGUCAGCUCAACACGGUCGUCUUGUAUCCUUCAAGAUGCACAACCCCUGUGAAAUUUCCAUCCUGGUUCCUACUAAUUUGCUCCACAAUUGCAUUCCCAAUCUAUUUAUGUGAAUCUUAUUUCCAGAGAUCAACUCGGCAUUGGCAAGGUCCAUCCAUAUUGUUUUUGCACAUGUUGUAGCUUUCACUCCUACACCUUUACGCGUCUUAUGCCUCAGUUUGAUGCGAACUCAUGGUUUGUCAAGGCCAUUGGUAAGAGUCAGUCAGUCAGCAAUAGUAAUAUCUGCCUUUCUUCAAUCACAGCAGCGAGUAUAGGGCACGCAGGAUUAAUAAUCUUCUUAUUAAUAUAGUAGUUCAAAGUUUGUCACGUUCCAAAUGGUUGAGACUGUUUGAAGCCGCCAGAAAAAGUAGAGAUACAAAAGUUAUUCUUCCACUUAAGUGAUAACAAAUACUAUAUGAACUAUGACAAAUUACUUCAGCUACAUUGUCUUAGCAGUUCAAGGAUAAACUGCAUCAGAGACUCAAUUUUCAGUCCCCUACGAAUAAUUCUUUGAAUGGCAAAAAAAAAAAAGAGGAUUAUCUAAUCCAUUCUGUACAAACCACAAAAGUUUGCUAAGAGGCAUGUUACAGCAUUUUCAACCGGCUAAACUCAAAAAUUUGAACCUUUAUAUUCCAUAUCCUCUUGAACCAAAUGGUAUCAAGCAUUACGAGCAUUGUACUCACUAGAUCUCAAACUAAAAGACGUGAGAAUUAGUCCAUAAGUUAGGUAUAUCUUGUAAUUUGACCUGAUUUGAUGGUGGGUCUGGGUUGCAACGACUGGACGGGAUCUCAGACGGACUUGCUGGAAUGUUGCAUGUCAACUUCCUGCUACGACAACACUCCUAACAAUUAACAUCCCAAUUUUGCUUAUGAAAAAACAGGGAGAUAUUAGAAUGAUAUCUCAAUACUUCAAGCCAUUCACAAACAUUUUCCAUGUAAUUGGUUGCAAUACCAGACGAGCUUAAGCCUGCCACCAAUAAUCUGCUUCACCUUAAAUCACGAAUAAGGCAAAAAUGCUAUCCUCCGCUCAUCAUUCGGCCUCAACAGAUCACAGGUGGAAGGUUAAGUGUGUGAGUAGUUAAAGGGGAAAUACCCUUUUUGAUAAAUGUGCCAAGAUGAAAGUCACUAUAGUCAAAAGGGUAUAAAUAUCCCAACACAAGUCUAUAUGGUCAUUUCCGAAACCACGCAAAGACGUCGGUGUCGUUUCCCCACAACAAUAAAUAGAAAUCACCAUACUUCCACAAUUAUCCAAAGAGCGCGAACCCUGACACAUCAUAAAAACUAUUAUAAAUCUAUUUACAGAAUAAACUUGACUGAACGGAGGCAUCGUGUGAUAUUUGCAUCCCCACAAUUUCUUAUCAGAUUCAAUUCAUAAAACAAAUAGGAACACGUAUAAAAUUUAAAUAAAAUUCUUUCAAAUUUUUUUUUUGUUUGGUGCGCGCGCGCCAAAAAUUGAAAUUUUGCAGAUUAAAUUACUACCAGAUGAUGAAGUACAAAACAAAAAUCAUCAUAUUCUGACAAUGACACAUAAUAGAAAACAAAACAAAAAAAAAAUCGAGACUUACGUUGUCAUUCAAAGCUUUGAUCCAAUUUGAGCAUCCUGAAACAGGGUUUUUCUUAAUCAUUCUUAGCGUUUUCUUCGUGAAGUUUGACUUUAUAUGCAAAGGAAAGUAGGUCACUAAUUAUUAAAUUAUCAAAAUACCCUUGACAUUUAAGUGUACAGGAGCUGACGCUUAAGGGUAUCGUAGUCAUUGUAUGGGUUUAGGCACCCAUUUGGGACGAAUAGAAAACUACCGUCCUUAUUUGAGAAAUAAUGCUAUUUGACACAGAAGUAUAAAUAAAUUCUCAACUUCCUCCCGUUUCCGUGAAAAUUUUGUUUUCAGUGCAGUGGAAUUGAAUUAAUCUGAAGGAAAAAAAAAAUUGUUGGUAUGUGGAAAUUAUACUUGAAACGUUGUCGUUUUUGGCAUAAUUGCUGUGAUAUACUUAUUUGCUUUGUGUUUUUAUUUCUUUUUUCUGGGUUUUAGGGUCACAAUCGGAGAGAGAAGACAAUGUCUCGUUGGAACUCUCUGAAGAAGUUCUUCAGAGCAUGGAAGUGGGCAUUUCUUUUAGAGAUUAUGUAAGAGAAUCUUCUAAUAAGUUUCUGUUUGAGGAACAUACUUGAUUUGCGUUUUAAAUGUAUCUGUUUGUUAAUUCAGUGUCGUUUUGUAUUGAUUCGUGUUUUAACAGAAUGGGAGAAUUAGUUCCUUGGAUUUUCAUAAAUCAUCGAGUUAUUUGGUGACGGCUAGUGAUGAUGAAUCUAUACGGCUGUACGAUGUCUCUGCUGCCACUUAAGUUGAUCCUCUGUUUCUUAGGAUUUUAUGUUGUCUCUUGGGAAGUGCUUUUAACUAAGAAAUGGCUUUUGAAUAAGUAUAAAAAGCUGGUUUCAAUCUUGCAAUGUUUGUUUGAAAUUGCAGGAAUAAUAAAGUGUCUCUUUUGAAAUCAAAGGAACCCUUGAAGUGUUUUUCUGGGGAAGUGCUUGAUAUCUGCUUUCAUGGAUAGAACUUUUUGGAUUAGGAAACCACUUGUAGUGCUGUUUGAAGAAGUGCUUCAUAUAUGUUUCAAAGUGAUUUUACUCGAGGGUACUUUCCAUUAAAGCAUUGCUGAACGUAUCAUCUGCGUGUUUGAUGAGCUCAUGAAAGCUACUGUCUUUCUAAGAUGGAGAAAAAUGCUUUUUAGAUGAAACAGAAAAAAAAAAAAAAAAAUAGAACCUUGGAGUGGUUUUCGGGGAAGUGCUUAAGGGAAAUGUAAUUGAUAUAUUUUUCAAGAACUUUUGUAAAAAGGCCUUUUCUUUUCUUUCUUUUUUUUUGUUUGCAUAAGCUCUUUCUAUAAGAUCACUGCCAAAUGCACUUCAGUUGUCUUAGCUGAGCAUGAUAGUUGGUAUUGCAAUUGUUGCUGAGAGCCUUAAUUGAAAUUUCAGAUGUUUGAAGACAAUUAACAGCAAAAAAUAUGGGAAUAUUUGUAUUUUGUUUGUUGGUGGAUUGCUUUACUAGGCACUUAUUUGAUACGUUCAUUUAUUCAGAAUCUCUACGGCUUCUUUCCUCGCACGAUAACAAGUACUUGCGUUACUUCAAAGGUCAUCAUAACAGGUUUGUAAUUCACUUAUUCUUGUAAAUAUUUCGUAAUUAUUAUUAUCUGUAUAUAUGUUUUACUGCUUCUAGGGUUGUUUCACUUAGCCUGUGCUCCUCCAAAGAUUGCUUUAUCUCUGGUUCUCUUGGUCAAUCUGUUCUGCUCUGGGAUCAACGGGCUGAGAAAUGCUAGGUGGAUAUCAUGCCAUCCACCAUUUUCAAUUGUAUUUAUGAUCUCUGUUGGCAAAUACGGGUCUUUUGCAUGUUCAAGGAAGGCCUGCUACAGCAUAUGAUGAUCAAGGGCCUGUCUUUGCAGUUGCCUUUGGAGGAUACAUAAGAAUGUUUGAUGCUCGUAAGUAGGAGAAAGUUAAAAUUAAUAUUUAAAAACAUCUUGGAAGUUUAUAUGUCGUACUUUUAUCAUGCACUAAUUUGGUUAAAUUUGGAUACAUCUUCUCUGAUGGUGGAGAUGUAUCAGAUUCUGAUGCUGGAAAGUUCAGCAAUGAUGGGAGACUUAUGCUUCCGACCUCUAUGGAAGGACAUAUUCAUGUGCUUGACUCAUUCCAAGGCACACUUGUGAGUUGACUUUUUCUUUCUUCAUCUCCCAAAUGUAACAUAUCGUACGUAUAUACCCCUCUAUACACUGGAAUCUCUGUGAAUGAGCUUCUGUUUACUCUUGUUUUUAUUUAUCCACUUAUGAUGCCAAGCCAGUUUCUCGCAAUUCCACAUUGGAGGCAUCUUUCAGCCCGGUAGAGUUUCUCCUUUCAGUUCUUAGGGCACAGUGACUUGGAUAUUUUGUUAAUAUUUGCUUUUGGCUGUUUUGAUAAUUUAUAUUAAAGUUCUUGCACUUGUGCUGUAUAUAAUUCUCAAAUUUGUUACCACCUUGUUGGUAUAUUGAAAUACACGACUUGAAAUGCUGGGCAUCAAGCUUGUUUCCGCAGAAUUCUUUGAAAUAAAUUCAUUUUCUCUUCUUCAUUGACUUGGUUUGAAACCCACUCCCAUCCAUGCAAAUCCAAAUGCGUACGUAUUUUCAUCUGGUUGUGCUUAUUAAUAAAAAUAAAUCAAUGAAAUGCUCAAACAGCAAGUGCACCCACACAUGUGGAAGCAGCCUAGUGUGGCCAAGCACCUCUCAUUUGUUUUAUGUGAUACAAUUGGUUUGUUGCACUCUUUGUGCUAAUUUUACUUUCUCGGUUUGGAAGGUUCUGAUGAUGGUAGUGGAUAUGCUUGGAGUGUACGGAGCGGGAAAGGGGUAUGAUAAGCAAAAUUCCUGGAUUCUCAUGCCUUUUGAAUGCUUAGAAUUCAAAGGGAUGUUAUUUCCCUUACAUUGACCCCAGUCAUAGCAUUCAUUGUCUUCUAGCCAAACCAACAAUGCUUUUGAAUCUACAUUUGAGCUUUGUAUAAGAAGUUGCACCAAUUAUGUAAGGAGAUGUUCAAUUUCCUAUAGUAGUAUGUAAAUGCAUCUGACUUACCUGCUAGUAACCUUUCCUAACAAGUUCUGAAGAAACAACAGUAGAUCUGGUAUCAGUACUUUAUUCAGAAGAGCAUUUCUUCUUACAUGCACAGCUAAGAGUACAUGAAUUGAGCUACUGAAGCCCUUCCUGACCAACCUGGCUAAGGCUCCGUUCAGUUUGUCCUCUUCAUGGUUCUUUGGCAGGCAACAGCGUAAGCAAUUACCUGGACUAUGAGGCCUUUUGUAGCGGGGUGGGCACUGCCUAGGCAGUUUUUGAAAAAAUUAGGAGCUUUAUUUGUCAUUGACAUUUGUAGCACGAUUAGUUGUUACCUGGAUUAAGUUGUAUAUAUUACAUCGUAUACCUAAUCUGACAAAUAACAGGUUGCAAUCCAAGUUUUGUUGAUCAUGAAGGGUUUGAGCAUGAUAGUCCAUUUAGGUCAUUAGGUCUCCCUCGAAUUGCCACGUACACACUUCAAUCCUCUCAACGAGCGUCCCCGCAACGUCACACUCCACAAUAAUCUCAAAUAAUUUAGAACAAUUAUUUACUUCUGGCUGCUCUUAUCUCCCUUCUCACCAACCGAGUCACUGGUUGGUUACAUUUUACUAACACCGCCGAAUGAGAGAUCAUAAUCCCUAUUACGUGUCCACCCUAACUGACCACAACAUUGUCAUUUUUGAUCUAGCGUUAGUAACGCGUUGUUAAAUUGUCAUAGCUUCGAAACCGCUUUAUUUUUGGACUCAAGGCACAAAAAGGAUAAUAAACAAUUUUAAAAGAAAUUAAAGAAAGAAGUAAAAAGUAAUAAAAACUGGUAUUACAGGUAUUCUACUAUUCUUCUUCUCAUGAGCCGACUUUUUUCCCCAAAAAAUAAUAAAUAAAUAAAUAAAAUAAAGUAAAAAGGAAAGAAUAGUUAAUGCACUUCUCUACGUAAACGGUGUACAAUCAUUCUGGAGUCUGCAAGGGCCUUCAAGGGACCAAUUUAACGAGUUUCAAAUAACAAGUUUAUUUAUUUAUUUAUUUAUUUCUUUGGAUGAAAUAACAAUUUUAAUUAAAUAAUACAAAUAUAACUUAUGUACAUUUUUGCUUCUUGACCCUCUGUGUUGAAUGAGAACGAAACUGACAGAUAAGGACAGUAUGGCGUAUCUCUUGUUUAUUUCUUUGAAUUCCCCUCUCUUUAUUCUCUCUCAAUAGCCCUAUCUACAACCCUAUUCCUUUUUAUAAUCCUUUAUCACGCUACAUAUAUCGUAGCGUACUAUUAAAAUUUAACAGUGGGAUUACUUAGAAAUUUGAUAAGCACUCCGCUUCUCCCCCACCCCACCCAAAAAAAUAUUAUAGGUUAAGUGGAUGUAAAUUCUAAUGAUUAACAUGUUGGGAUUAUAUGCUCUUUUAAAGUAUAGUAAUUUAUUUUCUGAUUAAUAAAAUAUUUGAGAUAUUUUCAAUUGCAUAAAUAUAUAUUGAAUAAUGUCCGUUUAAUCAUAUUAUAUGUAUUUUUGUGAUUAUCAUAUAGAUUCACAGAAAACAUAAAUACAAGUUAUCUUAUUAUUAAAUAAAUUCAGUUCGCAGUUGAUAAAUAGAGUUGGACGCUCUAUUUAUGUUUAGACUGUAGUAAAUUUAUUGCAUGAUUUGUCUUAAUCAUAUAUGAAUUUAUUGAUGUAGUACGAUUACAUUGAACAUGAACACAUAUGAGAUUUAAUUAACCUUGAAAUGACUGUCAGACUUAUUAAAUCUCAUAGGCAUUGAUUUUACUGUAAUCUUAAUAUUGAGUUAAUUAUGAUUUCAUGAUUGUAAUUGUUAUUCCAUUUGAGUUACCAAUGGGCACAACACACAAUUGUGGUCAAGAUUACCUAGUAUCUUGGUGGGAGCAUUUAUGAGUAUUGGAGUUAUACAUUAACAAUAUAGAAUUUGUACAACACAUCCUUGAUGAGUUUUUGGCACUUGAUCAUAGAAUUCUCUGGCCAGAGUGUGUCAACAUAUUUAGUAUGUUGAAAAUGAUCAUUAGAGAAAACAAGUAAGCAUCAAGGAAUAAGAUGUAAUUAAAUUGAUUAGACAGUUGAGAUAUCGAUUUAAUUAAUGAUGUGGUACAAAGGAUUAUGCAGUAAAAAAAUUGAUGUGGCCUGCGACGAAUUAUUAUUCGAGCAUACAAUUAUGGAAGUUAGUUCCAAUCUUUUAAUGGAGUAUAUUUGGAAUUAAAUAAUUAGGCUAGUUUAAUUAUAGGCCUAAUUAUUAUAGCCACUAUUGUAUGUUCCCAAAUGAUUCCCGGGUUAGCUCAUUUAAUUGACUACGCCACUACUAGAUUAAUAAACAAGAUAACUAGUUAUUUGGGUUAAAAGCCUAAAUAUAUUAUUUAGUGGGAGGCUUCAAGUAAUGUACUUGUGUCUAAGGGGCAUUGUGUUAUUUUACAAAGUGGGCCCCUAUGACAAGAAAGAAGUAACGUUACUUUUAGUUUAUUAUUUUUAUUUAAAUCAAACUUGAUUUAAUAGAAUUAAAUAAUAUAAAAAAUGGAGUCUAGGGUUUCCACUAGAGAAAAAUAUAAAAGGGCUUAUUUUCUCCCAAAAGAAACAAGCAGCCACUUUAUACAGAUCAGAGAAAAAGAUUUUUCUCUCCGUUGUUGAGAGAAAAAUUUUCUCGUGCUAGUUACUUUGGUAGUGAUAAAGGCGUUCACACGUCAAAUGCAGAUCAAACCUGAGUCAUAACAUAGAAGAUCAUUGGUGACAGUUCGUGAUCUAACAAGUGUUGUGGUCACGGAUCGUGAUCUAACAAGCGUGGUGGUGACAGAUCGUGAUCUAGGAGCCUAAAUCACUUCAAUGGAAAAAGCCAAAUCGGAUUUUCAAUGUACGAUUUCUAGAUUACGUAUUCAUAUAUAUUGUAUGAAAUCAGUCCUAAAACAUUUUAUAAAAAUUUAAAAUAUAGAUUUUUCUCCAACAAUUGGUAUCAGAGCCAUCUUAUAUUAAUAUAUAAUAAUAUUGUAUGAAAUCAAUCUUGAUAUUUAUGUAUUAGAGUGGCACAACUUAUUCAGAUAUAUAUUAUUUAUUUAAUAUAUGAAUAAAAUAUGUUUUUGGUUUGUCUUAAUUCAUGAUUAGAUUCUUUACUGUUUUUUUUUUUUAUCUGUAACAAGAGGAGUGGUUUAUUAUCACCAUAUUUCCCUCUUAAUUUAGUUUAUUGUUAUAGAAAUUUUGUAAGCCUAAAUUGGUGUAGGAAAUUUGUAAGUCACUAGAGUAUAAUCAUGGAUGUCAGAUCAAAGCAACGAAUGCCGGAAAUUUCAGCGUCAGCCAGCGGUGCAUGAUGCACGCGCAGUGGCCAGCAGCACACGCUGCCAGCAGCUGCAGCGCGCGCAAGUUUAGUGCAUUUCCGACGACGCGGCAACGGGUGGCUCGGCGUCGGAGGUCGGCUGGUGUCUGAACAAUGGCAGAGGUUUUUGGAGAUGGCGGCUGGGGAGAAGGAAAAGAAAAAUAAGGAUUUUAGGGUUUCAUGGUUUCUAUCAUUGAGGUCCCUAUAGUUUAAUAAUUAUUUCUUUUGGGCAGUUAAGUUUUAAGCAUUUAAGUCUAAAAAUAGUUUUGGGCUUAAAGAAUCUUAGUUUUAGGCCCAAUUGAAAUUUGGGCUUAAUAGAUUAAAAUACAUAGAUAAAAUUGAACACAUUAAAUUUAUUUUUUGUCCAAAAAUUUUAUUUUAAUAAAAAAUUUAAUUAUUUAUUUAUUUCCUUCUAAAAAAUUAAAAUUGGACCAAUAAUAAAUUUAAAAGCUCAAUUUCCCCUAGUCCAUUAACAAAGAUAAGCCUAUGGAAGGUGGAUAUUGACAAAAAGCCCAAUGAAGAUUAAGCUUAUGGUUAAUGUAUUUUUUUAGGAAAGCCAUGAAUUAAGAUUAUUUAAUUGUAUUUCUAUAUGUUCUGUUUUGGAUGAUAAUAUGCCAUGAUAACAUGUCAUAUAGAAUAGGUAGUGUCACUCUAUGCAUAAUAUUACAUGUCAUUAAUUAAUUAUGAAUCUUAUUAUAUUGUUUGUAAUUUGCAAAUGCUUAAAUAAUAUUGGAUAUCAUAUAGAUAAUAUUAUAGGAAGCAUGAAACAAUAUGUAUGUUUUAAAAAAAGAAAAAACCAAUUUUAAAAUAUUGAGUGGGAGAGGGAAAAUUCAAAAUAAUUUUUCCCACGGGCUCCAUUGUUAGUUCAAUAAUAAAAUUAUAUAUAUACCUCGACUUCAUGAUACGGUGAUGCUCCUUAUGGAGGGUAUAUAUACUAGAUAUUUUAUUUGCUGAACUUUUUCAAAGAUAAAAUUGAAUAUUUUUCAAUCAAUUGUUCACUCCAACGGUGACUAUUGAUAUGAAAAAUACGUAGAUUGAAACAAUGGUUAUACCCUCAACUAAAAGUUGUUUUUAACCUUCCCAACAAAGCUCUGUUAACAACUUUAGGCCCAAAGGGAUAACGAUAAUUAUUUAUCAUGUCUUUACAUGAAAGUAAAUAAUUCAAUGGAUAAUUGGGUCUAGUAAGCAUAUAUUUGUUAUUUUGUUGUGAAUGGGACAUAUAUGGCACCAUUUGCUCCCGUGACCGAUCUUUAUAACAGAUCCAAUUACCCUCGUUAUAGUCACUAGAUAGAAAGCUAACAUAGCACAAUUAUAAUAUGUAAUGUAAGUGAUAGUAGAGUCACAAAUUAUUGUAUAAAUUUAUUUUAUAUAAAUUGAUGAUAAUAUAAAAUAAUAAAAAUAUAAAUCAUGUAGACCAAGAUGUAUUUAAUAUAACUAAUAAAAUUUUACUAGAUUAGUUUAUAUAAGAAUUUGUAAUUUUAUUAUUACUCAUGGUACUUGAACAGUGGCUGAUUGGUUAGCUAGUGGUAUAAGUGGCAACGACCAAAUUGUUGAGUCUCUGACGUGGGUUCUCAAAAUGAGUCAAGAGUCCAGAAAUUAGCUAUCAAGUUAUGACAAUAUUUGUAAACAUGUCUUUGAGAUGAUACAUUGUCAUCAUCAGCAUCAUAUCCUAAUUGAAAAAGAAGGAUUGCGAGGGAAACUAAGCAUGUGCCUUCAUUUUCACUUGAAAUAAAGCGCGAUGGAAAGAUCUCAUGUUAUCACAUAAUGCCGUGUGAUCACCUAAAAGCCCUUCCACACACAUUUCUUCUCAAAUUGUCUUAUUCUAAUUUCUUGGACCACCGCGGAACCACAAUGUCAAUGCGAGGAUGAGCGAGUGCUGUUCAGCUCGCAGCAUUUGGAGCCGGAGCUCGGCUUCCUUUAUUUUUUCGUCUUCUGCUGGUAGACAUUGCCAAAAGGCAAAGAGGAUCCUCUGGCGUUCGUGGAGUUGGUCCUCGAUGCGAUUGAUUUCUUCUCCAAGUUGAGCAAGCCUUUGUGCCAUAGCCAUAUAAUUAUUUGCUUUCGACCGACAUAAUUCUUCUCUAAAAAUUUCAGGGAGCACUUUUCAUCUACACCCAAAUAUUUCAUCAGAAUUUUGUUGUAUGCACACUUACUUCAACAACUAUCACGACUCACUCUUUUUGUUAAAUAUUGUUAUUGCCAUUAAUUUUGAUAUCUUUGACGUUAAAAGACAAUUUUGCCCUUAUUUAUAUUUUUUAAUGCAAAAUUACUAGAAAACCACAACACCAAUUUCAAAUUUCAAUUCACCUGUGUGGAUAUUAAAUUUAAUUUUGACAUCUUUGAUAUUAAAAGAUAAUUUUGCUCUUAUUUAUAAUUUGUUAAUACAAAAUUACCAGAAAACCCAACAUGAAUUUCGAAUUCCAAUUUACCUGUGUGGAUAUUAAAAUUUCGUAAAGGUUAGAAAAAAAGUAAAAAGUUUUUGUUAUGAAGAUCAAAAUAUCCCCUCUGCCAUCAUCCAUAAACGUCCAUUCUUCAUAACAAUCUAGUAAACUUGAAAAAGCAAGAAAUCCAAUCCCAGUCAAUCAAAAAGCCAAAAUUCUUCAUAAAGUUUAGCUUUUCUUGAAAAAUUUUAAUUCUUGAGACCCUAAAUUAACCGAUAUUCAACCCUAAAUUAACCGAUAUUCAAAGUCACAUGUUUCUAUAACGAAAAUCUUCAAAAAUAACACUCAAAUGAAAAUCUUCCAAGUAAAUAAAAAUCUAUAUUCAUAAUAUUUAUGAAUAAAUUGUAAAUAAUAUAAAAUGGUCUAAUUGAAUAUAGAGUGAUUUACAAUUUUAUAGUGCAUUCACUAAAUAGGAAUCAAAAUUAAUUGGAAACAUAAUGAGUUAGAAUCGAAAUAACUAGAAUCGAAAUAAGGAAUUAGAAUCAGAAUAAUUUAUUUACUUGAACUGCAUGAAUCGUAAUUAGAAUGAGCUAUUUAUAUGUUUAUUUUAUCUUAAAAUCAAAAUCGGAGUGAGUUAAAUUGUAUCAAAUUACUAUAAGACCCUUAAUUAUUUUUUAUCAUAAAAUAGUUAAUUAAUGUUUAUCAUAAUUAUUAAUUUUAAUUUUAAUUAUCUUGAUUAUUAUUAUUAUUAAAAAAUUAAUUAUUAUUGUUAAUUAUUAUUAUUAUUAACAAUUUAACUAAAAAAUUAUUAUUAAUUAUUGUUAAUAGAUUAAUUAAUUAUAAUACUUUUUAUCCUUGUUAUUAAUAAUAAUAAUAAUAAUAAUAAUAAUAAUAAUCCAUUUAAAAAUUAUAAUUAUAAUAAAAUCAUUAUUAUAAUUAUAAUCCAUUUAAUAAUAAUUAUAUUUUUAAUUAAAUGGAGGGUAUUUUAGAAAUUUAAAAAUUAUAGGGGCGAAUUGAUACUGUAAGGGUUUUAAUGCAAUAAAACAAAGUAUAAGGGGCUCAAUGAAAAUUUACAAUACAAAAAGUUUCACAAUAUUUAGGAAUAAAUUAUAAAUAAUAUAAAGUGUAAGGGCUACGUGAGCAGUAACUUAGGUGGCCCCUUUGCAAAUAACUAUUGUGAUUAGUGAGGCGCACCCAUCAAGUUCAUUGUAGCUGAAUGUAGAGGGCCUCGUGGAAGUUUAAGUUGUAGGGUCCCAAUCAAAAUGUGGCACUGACACAUUUAUCAAACAAUAUGAUUUUUUGAUAAGGACAUUAGUUUUGUAUUCAUAUCAAGCAGGUCCCUAACUUGUUGGGUUGGCAACGACACGGGAUUUGUCAAUCCCAGUCCCAUUCCGUAUAAAGUGCCGUAUAUGCAAAUGAGAUAAAAAAAAAAUCUUAUUCCUAUUCUUUUAUUUUCUUUUGCGACAAAAAUUUGUCAUGAUCUCGUCUCAUUAAAUAUCUUAUCCCAUCUCAUUAUCUUGAACAGUUUUAAAGGUAAAUAAAUAAAUAGACUUUUUUUUAAAGAUCAUCACAAUUCAAUAUAGCAAAAUUUUUUAAAUAAAUACAAAGUAAAAUAAUCAAAUAAUAGUUUUAUUUUGACUAAGUGCAUGUUCAAAUAUAAUUUUAUAUUAACAUUUUUAAUAGUCUAUUUGCUUCCAUUGCACAUUAAUAUUAAGACUUACACUUCAAAAACUAUAGAUUUAAAUAGUAAUCACUUCAACAAUGUUAAAAUAUCUAAUAAUUGAAUAAUAUAAUAAUAAACAAAACCAACAAGGUUGGUAAUGGAAUGGGAUGAGACGAGAUUUGUCCAUUCCAGUCUUAUUCCGUUUAUACAAGUGAGAUAAAAAAAAAUCUUUCAUUCCUAUCCUUUUAUUUUUUUGGGAUAAAAAUAUAUCUUAACUCUAUCCCAAAUGAAAUAGGAAAAAUUACCAUCCCUACUAACUUGGUGUAAUGACUAAAAGUUGAUUGAAAAAUAUAUAGUUUAAUUUUACAUUUAAUUUUUUUCAUUUUUUUAUUAAGAAUUAAUUGAAAAAUUAUUUUAUUCCCUUAAUUUUACCAGAAUCCCAUUGACUUAACCCCUAGUCUCUUGAUUAAGGCUCCGUUUGGUGCAGCUUUUCAAGCAAAACUUAUUUAAGUAGAGCUUUUGAUAAUAGAGCUUUAAGAAUUUAGUUGUUUGGUUGUCAAUAAGAACUUUUAUUAAAAAUCUAUGAAAUUGCUUUAAUAGAUAAGUUUUCUUAAGUUAUGUUAUGAAAAGAAUAAAAUAAGAUUGUUAAAUAAGUAAAGGAUAUUUUAGAUAUUUUAACAUUUAAAAAAAGUUUUUCAACCUCUACUCCCAAAAGCUCAAACUUUGAGUUUUUGUCAAUAGAGACGAACUAGCUUAUUUAAGCUCUAAAAGCUCUACAAAAAAAAAAAAAAAAAAAAAAAAACAACCAAGCAACAACAAAAAUUAUGAUAAGAGCUUAUGAGAUUAAAUAAAUACGUAUGACCAUUAGACAAGCCAUAUCAAAUAGGCAGUAAAGCGUUUUUAAGUUCAAAAGAUUCAGAUAACUCACUCGAUUACAGGGCGUCUACACCUUAUGCUCGCAUUUGUUGUGAUGCCAGUAGAUGUUGUGACUGUGGUUGUCGUUGUCGAUUGUACUUGAAUUUUGCAGGAGAGCUUAAUAUCCUCCUUAGUAAUUAAGCGUUGCAUCAGUUAUUUUUAAAAAAAAUUAUAUUAGAGUUAUUAUUAAAAAAUUGUAUUAUAAAAUAAAAAUUAAUAAUAUGUAAUAAAUAUGAUUUUUAAAAAUUCAUUUUAUUAAAAUUAAUUAUUUUUAUUUUUAUUAAAUAAAUAUAAAAUUAAAUCAACUUAAUUAUUAAAUUAUAGUGAUUAGUAUUUAUUAAACACUUUAAUAUAGUAACUUUUAAAAUUAUAAUCGACUAACCUUAAUCCAAGAGCCUGAAAUGAUUGUGCAGUUCGGGAUUUUCAAUUUCCUUUCUUUUUGGAACUGGCUUGGGAUUGUCCAAACACGUUAUUGACUGCCUUUGACAGGGAGUAUGGGGACAAAUCAAUUUUGUUUCCUGCAAAACCCUUGAAAUAUUAGUCAACUUACGUAUACCACUUUUGGACCCAUUUUGUCAGCAAAAAGAAAGAGUGGAGCAUUUGUACUCUAAAUUUAACUUUAGACAGUCGCAUUUUAACAAAUUUUUAUAUUACUAAAUUAACCUUAAUAUAAUUUACUAUAAAAGACAAUUUAGUAAUAUAAUAACUUUUAAAAUUAUUAAAUAAAUAUAAAAUUAAAUCAACUUAAUUAUUAAAUUAUAGUGAUUAGUAUUUAUUAAACACUUUAAUAUAGUAACUUUUAAAAUUAUAAUCGACUAACCUUAAUCCAAGAGCCUGAAAUGAUUGUGCAGUUCGGGAUUUUCAAUUUCCUUUCUUUUUGGAACUGGCUUGGGAUUGUCCAAACACGUUAUUGACUGCCUUUGACAGGGAGUAUGGGGACAAAUCAAUUUUGUUUCCUGCAAAACCCUUGAAAUAUUAGUCAACUUACGUAUACCACUUUUGGACCCAUUUUGUCAGCAAAAAGAAAGAGUGGAGCAUUUGUACUCUAAAUUUAACUUUAGACAGUCGCAUUUUAACAAAUUUUUAUAUUACUAAAUUAACCUUAAUAUAAUUUACUAUAAAAGACAAUUUAGUAAUAUAAUAACUUUUAAAAUUAUUAAAUAAAUAUAAAAUUAAAUCAACUUAAUUAUUAAAUUAUAGUGAUUAGUAUUUAUUAAACACUUUAAUAUAGUAACUUUUAAAAUUAUAAUCGACUAACCUUAAUCCAAGAGCCUGAAAUGAUUGUGCAGUUCGGGAUUUUCAAUUUCCUUUCUUUUUGGAACUGGCUUGGGAUUGUCCAAACACGUUAUUGACUGCCUUUGACAGGGAGUAUGGGGACAAAUCAAUUUUGUUUCCUGCAAAACCCUUGAAAUAUUAGUCAACUUACGUAUACCACUUUUGGACCCAUUUUGUCAGCAAAAAGAAAGAGUGGAGCAUUUGUACUCUAAAUUUAACUUUAGACAGUCGCAUUUUAACAAAUUUUUAUAUUACUAAAUUAACCUUAAUAUAAUUUACUAUAAAAGACAAUUUAAUAAAUUUUUAUCAUAUGAACUUUUAUCUACUAUAAACCACAUCAACAAUGAAAUAUUGAACCAAUGUUCACGUCGGAACUUUAUCUAUACUUAUAGACUAGAUUUUUUUUUUUUUUUGGUUAAUAGAAUGGCUAGAAAAACAUCAAGUUGCAUGUUCUAUCUCUUAUAACUGAAACAAAAGGAAUUACAAGCGGAGGUGCAGAACGAACAAUAAGUCUAUAAAUAUGAAAUAAAAUCGACAUAACUUCUAACAACUGCUAACUAUAAUCUUGAGCAAGACCUUAAUUUCCUCUCAGUUUUACAAUUAUUUGCUUUUGAGUGAGCUCUGAUUAUAAAUUUAUCCAUACAUGAAGUUACACUAGAUACGAAAUUACGUGGGCAUAAUUAUUCUUAGAGAAUUAUUUUUUCCUUUAGGAAUUCGUGCAAAUUAUCACUUUCUUUUUCCACUUUCCUUGAGAUAUUAUAUUUGACCUUUUUUAAAUAGUGCUCAUUUGUUUACGGAGUUUUUUUUUUAAUAACCAUUUCUAACCGUUUCAAACAAUUUGGUUCUAAAUAUAAAAUUUAGACCAUCUAUAAAUGCAGCCCUCUCACAUAAAUAGUAUCCAGUCCUAAGUCCACAGCCAGGUUUGUGAGAGAGCUCUCUACAUUAUAGAUGCUGUAAGGCAGUAGGGGUGUAAAAAAAACCCGCUCGGACCGGACCUGGCCCGGACCCGGCCAAUUCGGUCCGGGCAAAACCCGGACCACAUGCACUGAAAAUGCGGGUUCGGGUUUAAGAUUCCAAACCCUACCAUUUUCGAGCACGGGUUCGGGUUCAACACCAAAAAUCUGGAACCCGGAACCGGACCCGGUUUCUAAAUUAAAAAAAUAUAUAUAUAAAAACAAAAAUGUCAAAACCCAAAUCCCUAAUUGGCUAAUUCCCGAUUGAAAGAGGCAUAAGCAGCAAGCCAACAACGUUGUCACCGGCAUCAUCUCUUCUCGUCACCGUCGGCAUUCGGCAUUAACCACCACCCACUGUCACCGUCGCUCGUCGGCAUCAUCUCUUCUCGUUUGCUGACUCGGCUUGGCACGCGGCUUUACUCGGUUGCUCCAUCUCCAGUGGCAGUGUGGCUGUGACUCAGUGACAGUGAGUCGUUCGUGCAGGUGAGGCCUGCUUCUGGGAUAUUUUUCUGGAAUUUGGCCUCUUCGAGUUGCUUGUCCUGCUUCCUGACAUGUUCGGCAGCUGCGAUUGCAGAUUCCUUGGAGUCCUUAACAACUUUGAGCUUGGUGGUCAACUCGAGCAUGGUUCUUUUAGCCCUCUCAAGAUCGCCAAGUGCUCGAGCUCUUGUGCUUUCAGAGCUCUCUAACAGUUUCUUAGUUCUUUCGAUUUCUUUCCGGGCCAAGAGAAGCUGCGUCGUCAGCGCCAUCGUCUCCAACUCUCCAUUGCCACUUUCUCAACCACCAUCUCCAACUCUGCUUCUCAGCUUCUGCAAGAGAGAAUUGCAUGCCAUAUUGCCAUUAUUAUUAAGUUACUAUAUGCGGGUUUCUAAGCCCGGACCAAAAACCCGGACCCAGGUGGUGCCGGGUUUGCGCCUGGCCCGCACCCGGAAAAUCGGGUUUUAACCCGGGUCCGGAUUUUUUGUCCACUCAUCCGGUCCGGUCCCGGGCAACACCAAAACCCGGAUCGAACCCGGAUUUUGCCAAGCCUAUAAGGCAGCCCUCGCCAAACCUAAAUAUAAGAUUGAAUCAAACUCUUUUCGAAUUCGAAUUUCUUUCAAGCUCAAAUACGUCGCUUGGCUUUUCUUAUAUUUUAAGGUACAAUUGGGUUUGAUUUCUAUCCACUCUUAAGGUGCAGUAAAUCUCAACAUUCCAAAUAUAACCCUUUUGACACAAUUCACUUUCUAUUUGGGAAUGGCAAAAAACCCCAUGAGAUGGGGUUGGGGAUUUUUCCCAUUUAAGAAGGGAAAAAUAACAAUUUUAUGUUUAGGGUCUGAUAGGAAUGAUUUUUUGCCCAAUUUUUUUUGGGGAAGGUACAAAGAUGAGCUUGAAUCCUGAUUCUCUUCCCAAUUCGCCAUUUUCUCAAUUUAAUUUUUAAUUCUAAUUUUAUUUUUUAAAAAUAGUAAUGAAUCAAUAAUAAAAUCUAAAUUAUAAAAUAUUAAAUAUUAGUAUAAAUAACAAAUAUCAAUAUAUUUAUACAAAUAUAUUUUGAAAUUUUUGGGCCCAACUAAAUAGAAAUUCUAUUUUAACAUUCAUACAUUUUCAAAAUUAUUAAACUAAAAGAAUCCAGAAUCAAUUUUUCCUUGUGAACUUCUAUUAAAAUUUCACUGCGGUUUAAAAAAAAAUUAAAAAUUAAAAAUCCAUCCCAAAACCGAUUGCUACAAUACUGAGCCGCAAAAGUCAACGCCCGACACCCCACAUUUCAAUUUCAAAUCCAAACUUAAAUCCACCAACAGACACUACGCAAAACAAAUCUACUUGAAAUGAACAGCAAGUCUAAAUCGAAAUCGAAAUGAAAACCUUUAUGAGAGAGAAGUAAGAAGGCUUCGUUGUAUAAAGAGAAUAGCGAUUGAAGACAGUGUCUUCACGAUCGUCGUACGUAAAGCAUACGGAGAUCGGAGACUGUGUACUAACGAUCGAGGGCUGUGUCAAGACUGUCUUCACGAUCGUCGUAUGUGAAGCAUACGGAGAUCGGAGACUGUCUUAACGAUCGACGACAAACUGUCUUCACGAUCGUCCUAUGUUAAGCAUACGGAGAUCGGAGACUGUGUCUUAACGAUCGAGGGCAAACUAUCUUCACGCUCGUCGUAUGUGAAGCAUACGGAGAUCGGAGACUGUGUCUUAACGAUCGAGGGCAAACUGUGUUCACGAUCGUCGUAUGUGAAGUAUACGGAGAUCGUAGACUGUGUCUUAACGAUCGAGGGCUGUGUCGAAACUGUCUUUACGAUCGUCCCAUGUGAAGUAUACGGAGAUCGGAGACUGUGUCUUAACGAUCGAGGGCAAACUGUCUUCACGCUCGUUGUAUGUGAAGCAUACGGAGGUCGGAGACUGUGUCUUAACGAUCGAGGGCAAACUAUCUUCAAGAUCGUCGUAUGUGAAGCAUACGGAGAUCGGAGACUGUGUCUUAACGAUCGAGGGCUGUGUCGAAACUGUCUUCACGAUCGUGGUAUAGAGUGAAUAGAGAGAGAGGGGGCUGUGUUAAACAGAAAGAUUGAAUGCUGUGCCGUGUAGAGAGAUCGAGAAGAAGAGAGAAGAUGGCGGCGCCUGUAGCAGAGCACGGGCUCAUAUUUAUAGGAGAGGGAUUACGGCAACUUAACGGCCGUUAUGACCGCAAAUUGCCUCUGUUAGAAUUAACCGAGAAGUCACGGGAUUACCUGCUGAUCAUCAGCAUCUGGGAAUCUUAUGAGUUUGAACAUCAAACAUGCAUGCUAAACUAUCCACUAAUAUAUAUAUAUAUAAACCGAAAGCUCAGUCAUUUAAACGAUAGCAUUCAGCGAUGAACAACAAUAACUUAAACAUGGAUGUAACUCAAAAUUUAUCUUCACCUGACAGCCAGACAUACGUAUGGUAAAUCGUAGUGGUAGAAGGUUAACAUAUGAGGCAAGUUCAAAGAACAUUUCUCUUUUAUACCAAAAAAAGAAAUAGCUGAACCGGAAGGGACUCACAGUUGAUUAGAGAAUGAGUAUAUCAAUCUAUCUGUGACAAUUUAAUUUAGGUAUACCAUAUGAUUCCAACCUUUAUUACACUAAAAGAUGGUCAUCCCAUCAUUAAUAGAAAAGAAAAAUAAAAUAAAACGGCAAAGUAAUUAAGAAAGAAGUAGAAUUUCAGCUCAACCUUAGGUCAGAAUAGUGUGAGCAUUCUAGAUUUGAUUCAUCUCGUCAUAACCUUCGAACAAGGUAUUAUACACUAGAAACAGACACAUGCGUCCCAAAUUAUGAUAUCCAAAAAUUAUCCUACUCAUGAUUAUCUUAGGUAACUAUCCUACAUUGCAAAUGAAUGUAAUAGCUACGUUUCAAAUUAAAUUCAAAACCAUAAAUUCAAGAGUUAAGUGUUUCUGAAUCAAAAUACCCUCUACGAAUUUUAUAAAUUGGCUUCUAAUUUCAUUAGCAAAAUACACAAAAUCCAAGUGAAUUUCCUCUUCUCUCCCAAACAGUUUUAACAUUUGGCGAUAGAGCUGACGACAAGCAUGAGUAAACAAUGUACAAUAGUGAUACGCAACAAUGAUCAAAGAAAAACAAAUCCUUGAAGUGUAACACCAUGAAAUGAAAAAAUAGGGCGUGGAACAAAUAUUUCUAAUAAUCUUGUUCAUCUUAACCAUAUUUUUUUCAGUGAAAAAUAUUAAUGGCAUCUUAUGUUAUAUUGUUUCAGUAAGAGAAAGAAGAAAAAAGAAAACAAAUCUCUUUCAUAGGGGCUUGACCAAUUUUUUCACGAAAAAUUGACGGCCGUUAUGAGUUCUGUAAAUGCCUCUGUUAGAUUUGAUGGAAAAGUCACGGGGUUACGCGAUGAUCAUCAGCGUCUGAAAAUGUUAUGAGUUUAAUUAGCCAAGAAGAAUUAACCUCCGCUUCAGAUCGAACGACUCCCAAGUAACUACAAACAUAUCACCUUUAUCCUUUUGGUUCCAUCUGCCCACGAAGCUUCAUAUACCUACAAAAUGUUUCUUAAAAUUUUAAGGAAAAAGGAUAAAUACACCCCCAACGUUUAGAUAAAAGGACAAAAGUCCCCCUAACGUUUUAAAAAAUACAUUUACAUCCUCAUUCUCUAACGGAAACAGUAACUUUUAACAGAAAUUAUUGUUAUACCCUUCUAGCAUAUAAAAAAUAUAUAUACAAGUUUAACUUGUGGUAUUAUACCAUAAAAUUUUAUUUAAAUUUUAAACUUGUAUAUUUAACAAUUCUCCACAUGUUAUCAUUUAAACUUGUAUAUUUAUAACUAAUUUUUUAUGUUAUUUAUUAUGGUAUUAAUUGAAAUACAAGUUAACAUUAAUAACCAAUUUUAUUUAUUUUUAUUCUUGAGUAAUGAAUUAAAUUUAUUUGGCUUGAAGAGGGAAUUUGAUAAAAAUUUAAAUAGAGGAAUUGGGUAAUGAGGAUAUAUUUAUAAUUUUAUUAAUAAUAUAUGGACAAAUUGGAUAAUCAACAAUUUUUUUUUAUAUGCUAGAAGGGUAUAACGGUAAUUUCUAUUAAAAGUUAAUGUUUCUAUUAGUGAAUAAGGAUGUAAAUGUCUUUUUUAAAACGUUAGGGGGUUUUUGUCAUUUUGUCUAAAUGUUGGGGGUGUGUUUGUCCUUUUUCCUUUUUUUAAUAAAUUAUAAUCGGACAGCUGGAUCAAAAUUUUCGACUGGGCAAAACGCAAAAUCUACCACGAGUGCUUCAACAACUUCGUUUCAUUUAAAUAUUUAUCAUUUAAUCAGAGUUUGACGAGCAGCGUCGAUGGAAAAUUGAUAGAAAUGAUCCUUACUUUUUUUUUUAUUAUACGAAUAGCAAAUAAAAUUUUCCUUUUUUCAGUUACACAGGUAGGAAAUAAAUUUAUAAAGUCUAGUAUCUACUGUUCGUAAUAUAUAGCAAAUGAAAAUUUUCCAUUUUUCAAUUACACGAACACAUGUAACUGUUUUGUAUAUACCUUUUUCUAGCGGCUUCAAAAAGUUUCAACCUUAUGGAAUGGCACAAUCUUUGUACAUUAUUAUUUUAAUUAAUAACAAGAUUACUGAUCCUGUGCGCCCGGUAAACACUGCUGUGAUUGAGGAAAUGGCGGUUGCUAUUGCUGACUCUUAUCAAAGGCCUUGAUAAAUCGACCAUUUCUUCACAUCUAACUGAGGCAUAAAAGGUAAAAAGCCUAGGUGUAGGAGAGAAAGCUACAACAUAUAUGACACAAAAUCAAUUUGGAUAGGCCUUGCUGAUCAUGUCUGUGAAUGAAGAAGAUUCACCUUGAUGCCAUAGCGUAGCAAAUUAUUAGGAGGCAGGAUGUAUAUGUCGCAUAGUUAAAGGGGGAUUCUAAAUCCUGAAGGGUACAAAGACUUAUGCUUUGAAGCUCAUCUCCCUAUCUAAAACAAGCGAGUUAAGUUCUAUUUGGAAUUGAGAUUGAGAAACUAUAACUUAAAAACUACUGCAUUAAAAUAUUAGGUAAACACUAACUGCUAUAGUUUGGAAAUUAAAUUAAUUUGAUUUUACACUUGUAUAAUGAAAAAUCUAUUAUAUCUUUACUAAUUUUGUCAAAAUUAUUAUUUAAAAGUUAUAGUUGCUACAUAUUGUUAACUUUUAUUUCUUCGUUAUAAUUUUUUUUUUUUUACAGUAGUUGUAACUUAAAAGCCGCUGCACUUUAAUACCAAAUAAGACCGUUGUUAACCAUUUUGAUAGAGUUUGACCAUCUAAUUGACUAAUUCCCCAAAAAAAAAAAAAAGGUAUGGUGGUUACCCGAAUUUUACGUCCACUUAACAUAUAAUUUUUUAGGGGAAGAAAGGGCGGGGUGCUAAUCAAAUUUUUGGAAAAAAAGAAAAAAGAAAAAGCACAAUACUUGUCAAAUCUCUAAAUAACCCUAUUGUUAAACUUUAAUAAUACACUACAAUAAAUGUAAUGUAAAUUAAGUAAUAAAAGAUUAUAGAAAGAUCAAAGAAAUAGGGUUGUAAAUGGGAUUAUUGUGAAAGAAUAAAGAGAGGAAUUCAAGCAAUAAAUAAGAGACACGCCAUACAGCCCAUGCUGUCCUUAUCGGUGUCAAGUUCAUUCUCAUUCAACACAGAGGGUAAACAAGCAAAAAUGUAUAUAAAACACAUGCAUAUUAUUAUUACUAUUAUUAUUUGAGAAGCACAUGCAUAUUAUUUAAUUAAACGUGUUAUUUGGAACUUGUUAAAUUGUUACCUUUGUAGGUCCUUGUGGACUCCAAAUUAAUUGUACGCCUUUUCAACAGAAAAAAGUGCAUUACAUAAUUUUUUCUUUUUUUACUUUAUUUUUGGAAUUUUUUGGAAAAAGCGAUGACUCAUGAGAAGAAGAAGAAUAGUAGAACACGUGGAACAGUCCAAAAAUAUUGUGUAUAAAUAAAUAACGCGGCUUCUGAGUUUUUGACAAUUUACCAUACGUUAAUAACGCUUGAUGAAAAUGUUGCAAUCAGGUAGUGUAGAAUCACUAAUAAAUGAAAUAUGCAAUAAGAAGAGUAAAUAUUAAUAACGCACCAAUAUUACAAAUCAAUAGCUAAGGAUCAAGUGAAAUUUCACCUGCAAAUUAGGACAGCCGAGGAAGCAUCCAUAAACAUAAGAGUAAUUAUACCACUCUGAAAUUUCAUAAGAGAGAAUUAGGACAGCAGAGAAAGAAAUACACAAAGCAAUUUGCAAAGGACAGAGGCAUAAACAUAAUAGUAAUUAUAAAAUUUCAGACUGUAAGAAAAAAGUAAAAAAUGUAUAAUAUUUUUCACAUUAGUCCGACGGUUCGUCAAUGUCUUUGUAAAAAGCAAAUAUUUUCAAAGGUAAAUAACACUCUCCCAAAUGUUUAAUCAAUAAUACAAUUUUUUUUUGAAGAGAUAACUACUGAUUAUAUAUUGAUUCUUCAAAAUAAUUACACAUUUAUCAUAAUAUUAUUUAUUUAUUUUAUAAUUGAUAUAGUACUUUAAAGAUAUUUGAAAAAUUUUUAACUUGACAAUGCUCCUUAAUCAAGGGUGAAGUUUAAAUUAUGUCACAAAAAGUGCUUGAACAAUAUUGAGCAAAGCGUUUACUUGUAUAACUCGAACUGGGGAGCAAACCCUUAAGUGGCUUGACUGAGUUUGCUCCCCAGUUUAAGUCGCAGGGAAGUCGCUUUUGUUGGAAAAACUUGUGCCUCUCGAUUCGAGCGGAGACUUCUAUUCUUGGUUGUGGUACGGACUUAAAGGUGCCUCCCAUAGUUGGGACCCUCCCCAGGAUACCUCGUAGUCAAAAACCAAAAAGAAUGCAUAUGAGGGGAUAAGAAGACUGAAGGUAUGAGUUUGACUAUUAUCACAAUAAUUUCUAUUUCAUAGAUUGAAAUGUGAACAUUAGUGUAUUUUGUGGAAUUUUCUCCGUUACUUUAUAAAAUUACUACAUGUACAUGGAUGAUUGCUUGCUACUGUGAAAGGCGAAACAUUUAAUUUGGAGAAAAUUCCUUCUAGACUGGUAGCAUGGGUCAUAGUUGCCCUAUCGACGAAGUGUUAUUAGCUAAAACCUAUUGCACAUGUCAAUGCAAAAUGGCUUCAAGGUUUCGCUGUAGAACUGAUGACAAGCUUCUGAAAACAACGUGCCAUAUUGAAACACAACAACAAUAAUGGCAGCACCAAUCCAUGCAGUGUAAAAAAUGAAAUGGCCAAUAUUAGAACACGGAAGUAGAUCCAGAGACAACAGCAAGGCCCCAGAACUGGAAAGAAUUUUCUGGAUGAAGUCGAGACUUGAGGUUAGCUGAAUGUGCAUAACAAUACGUGGUUAUGGCUAUAAAAAAAGACCAUAUAUUUAUGGGCUUAGUUUUGCUUUGCACAUUGGCACCCACAAUGCCGAUGAGAGCCGGAAUCAGAUAUUCAAAAAUGUUGGGAUAUGACAUCGACUAGAGGAGAUUUCGCCCACUGCAAAAUCAUUUAAAAUGAUAAAAUCAUCUUCUGCAUAUCCCAUUUUCUUUUAAAAAAAAAUUAAAAUUAAAUAGAUCUUGUAUUAAUUCCUCUCAAUUUGUUUGUCAAUUAUUUGUUUUUGACCGACACAAUUCUUCUCUAAAAAUUUGAGGGAGCACUUUUUAUUUGCACCCAAAUGUUUCAUCAAAAUUUUAUUGUAUACACACUUGUUUCAACAGCUAUCAUAGCUCACCCUUUUCUGUUAAAUAUUGUUUUUACCAAUAAUUUUGAUAUCUUGACGUUAAAAGACAAUUGUACCGUUAGUUGAAAUUUUUAAGUAUAAAAUCACCAAAAAAACCACAACACUAGUUUCAAAUUCCAAUUGACCUGUGUGGAUAUUAAAAUUUCUUAAAGGUUAAGAAAAAAAAGGUAAAAAUGCUUUCUUAUGGGAAUCAAAAUAUCCCCUAUACCAUCAUCCAUAACCGUCUAUUCAUGAUAACAAUUUAAUAAACUUGAAAAGCAAAAAAUCCAAUCCCAGUCAAUCAAUACAGCCAAUUUUCUUCAUAAAGUUUAGCUUUUACUUUAAAAAAUGCUAACUCUUGAGACACUAAAUAAAUAUUUAAAGUUACGUGUUUCUAUAACGAAAAUCUUCAAUUUACCCCUUUAAAAGUUUGAAAACAUUAAUUUACUUCUAUUUUCCAGUCAAAAAAUUAGAAUAAAUGGAGACAAGCUGAUGACAAACUUUUUAACUUCUUAGUGGUAUUUGAUAAAUAUAAAUAAAUUGAAAAUUAUCAUUGUAAGUAGGAAUAAGUUAAAACUUUUACUCCAUAUUUAUUGUGCUUUAAGAAGAGAAAGAAAGAAAACAGAAAACAAACCUCUUUUAUAGGAGGGUUAACAAAAUUUUCAGCAAGGACUUAACCAACUUUUUUCGCGGAAAUUAAAUUAGCAGAACAAAAAUAACAUACGACUUGAGUCAAUAAUGGUAAAGAAAAUGAACGUACACAGAAAAUGAACGUACACAUAAGGGUUUGGAUUUGGUUGAUGAAGAAUGCACUGAAAGCUUUGCAUUUGCUUAUAUAUCACAGCAAACACUGGAUUGAGUUCUCUUUUCCAGGGUAAAUAAGGUAGGGAACAGCAAAGCCGAUCAAUUUGAUAAAAAAAAAAAAGGGAGGGAAGGGGGGGGGAGAGAACUGCCACAGUAAGAACAUCUCAAUCAUCUCUGCUAAAAAAAGUUAUCUCGUGGCUGGGGCAUUUAUAUUUUCAUGUGCGCUGAUGCCGGGAGUUGAAACUGAGGCGGCGAGUCCUCGAGGCCUCUGCUGCAAGAGAGGACUCUGUUAAUUUCGCAAAAAUCUGACUUGGCAAAAUCCACUCAUACAUCAUUUGUCCCUUUGUUGUGAUGUUGAUGCAGUUUCUUUAUUUUUAUUUUUGCUUUUUGUUUUGAGCUCCCAGACAAAAGAGUGUUGAAAAUGAUCGAUUAAUCGGUUCCCCAUUCAAUUUCAAGGUCGAAAGGGAUGACAAGAUGUAUAUUUAGUAUGGUUUAUUUAAUAAUUAUAAAUAUUUGUUUAAUUUUAUGAUCUCUUAUUAAAAUUUUUGUUAUUAUUUAGUUAUUUUUUACAAAAUUUUUAAAGAUUAAAUAAGAUAUUUUAUUUCUAUUAAAAAAAUUUAAAUUUUAAGAUUUUAGAUGUAGAGAUUGAAUUUUUUUUUACAUGGUAAAAUAUUUAAAAUAUUAUUUAUUUAUUUGACAAUCUUAUUUUAUUUUUUUAUAACAUAAAUUUUAAAAAAUAAUUUAUAAAAAUAAUUUCAUAAUUUUUAAUAAAUAAAUUAAUUGAUAAUUAAAUAAAUAAAUUUUUUUUAGUAAAAAUUUUAUUUAUAAGAAUCUUAUUAAUAAAAAAUUUAUUUAAAAAAAUCCUAUUUGAAAAGAUAUUCGGAUCGAAUUUAACAUCCACAUCAUACCGGUACGAGACGUAAGAGGGUUGAAAAUAACGUUAUACACUCGUCAAGGCGCACCAAUCAAGUUCGAGGGGGACAGCGCCCAAUAGCUGAACUUAAAGGGCCCCGUGGGGAACUUAGGUGGUACAGCCCCAAUCAAAAUGCGACAAAUUUAUCAAACAACAUGAUUUUUCCAACGAGGAUAUUAGUUUUGUGUUUGUCACAAAUAGGUCCCUAACUUGGUGUAAUGACUAAGAAUUAACUGAAACAAAAUAUCUUAAUUCUGUAUUUAAUUUUUAUUAAGAAUUAAUUGAAAAUUUAUGAUAUUUUCUUAAUUUUUGCCACAAUUUUUUAAUUAAUUAUAAUUUAAAAAUUUAUUAUAUUAAAUACAUAAUUAAAAGUAUUCAUAUUCCCAACAUCAAACAAUCACUAAGGGUAAAAUGGUAAGAUUAGUAAAAAAAAUUGAUACUCAAAGGGGUUUGGAUGUGUUUUUAAAAUACCAAGGGAGUUUCGGUUAGUUUUGUCAAACAAUAAGGGAGUUUUGCUCUUUUUGUUUCUUUUGUUUUUGUUGUUCAUAGUCGAUAAUGGAUUUGAAAUAGAAAAUAAUUAUAAUUUAUUUUUUCAUUCACUCUCUAAUUAAUUCAAUGGUGCUUAGCAACUUUUGUUUCAGUUUAUGAGCAAUUGGGUGAUAUUUUAUGCCAUGUUCUCUAUCGAGAUGAUGUAACUUAAAAGUUAGGAAAAAAAAGUUGUAAUUAUAAUAUUAAAUUAAUAGUUUGUAAUAAAUAUGACUUUUAAUUAAUAAUUUUGACAAAGAAGUAAUAGACUCUGACAGUAGCGGACCUACAACUGGGCAAGGCCGGGCGUUAGCCCAGUCUAGUUCCAAAAAAAAUCAUUUAUAUCGCUUAUGCUUUAAUUAAUUUUAUAUAUAAGUAUAGAUUUUUUAUUUUGUUUUCAUAUAUAUUCCUAAUUUAGUUAGCCUUAUAUUUUCAUCAAUUUCAUAUAAUAAUAGAGUUUUUAUUUUAUUUUCAAAUAUGUCCCUCAUUCAAUUAUAUAUAUUUUUUCAAUUGAAAUUAGUUACUUAUUUUAUAAAAUGAUUAAAUCAUAUGUUUAUUGAAUAGAUAGAAAACAGUAAGGGUCUAAAAUAUUAUUGGUGCUUAAAUUUAUUUUCAAAAAUUCUAAUUGAAAAAAAAAGUAUGUCAACGUAGUAAAACAUUGUCACUAGUAUUAAAAGUACUUAAAAAACAUAUAGUAACAACUAUCAACAUUUUCAUAAACUUUUUAUGUGAAUUUUGAGAUUUUAUUUAUUAUUUACAUUAUCUAAGAGGACAAGUUAGAAAAUAAAAUUUGAGUAUUUUUAGGAGUUUUUGAUAGAAAAAUCAUCAGCAUUUGGUUUUUUAGAGAGAGUCAGAGUGCUUGGCAAAGAAAUAACGACACCUAAAUACCUUUUUGCCGCUAGAUUGAGUUUAGUUUAUUAUUGAAACUUUUGACUAAUAAUAUUUUUAUAAUUUAAAAAGAUGAAUAAAUUUUAAUUUUUUAAAUUUAUUUAAGCCUAGUAAUUAAGUAUUUUUCAAAUAUAAAAGGUCUACUUAAAUUUUUUAAUUAAUUGCAAUUAUAGGUAUUGAUGAAUUUUAUCUUGAAAUUCUUAAUUGAUUUAUGUAAUUGCAUGUUAUUAUAGGUUCCACUGUUAGAUUCCAUAAACAAAAAGUAGUGCUUUAUACUAGAAUUGUCUUUUAAUUCUACCAUUUUUCUAUAAUUAUUUUUGUUUAGAGUACUGUGUUUAUAGGGUUUUUCGUUUCCCCUUUAUUUGAUGCACUUCUUUCUACCUAUGAAUAUUUAUGUCACUUCAAAAUAUAAAAUUUUUAAUUUAACCCGGAAUAACAUAAAGUCUUGGGUCCUCCCCUGGACCAUGAGCUGAAUGUGCAUAAUAAUAUACGGCUGUGGCUAUUAAAAAAAAAAAAAACCAUAUAUCUGAUGAGUGUGUUUCAAGCAAGGGCGCAGUUUGACUUGCAUAUUUGCACCAUCAAUGCCAAUUGGAGCCAAAAUGAGAUAUCCAAAUAUGUUGGAAUAUGACAUCGAGCAAAAGAGUUUUGGCCCACUGCAAAAUCAUUAAAAUGAUUAAUCUUCUUUUGUAAAUCUCAUUCACUUGGAAAAAUUUAAAUCAUUUGCUUUUGAUUGAGUUUUGUCCAUUAAUUUGAAAUUUUUGGCAAUUACUAGACUAAAAGAUAAUUUUGCCCCUCAUUUGAAUCUUUUAAGUGUUAAUAUCAUAAAACCAAUUGACUUGUGUGGAUAGAAAAUAAGAAAUAAAAGUUUUUCUAUUUUUUUCAGAAUAUCUCCAUCUACCUGACUCAAACUUGCGCCCGUCAAUUUAUAGGUGCACCCGUGCGGAUACGAAACCCGUUUGUUUUCUCAAAGGUUUAAAAAAAAAAAAAUUGAUUUGGGAUUACUUAGUCUUAUAUGAGUCGAUUACUCCAAUAACAGAUGAAUCCAAAAAUCUUCUCUACCUUUAUCUUGCUUUUUUAAAAAAUCUAAUUUUUGAGACCCCAAGGUGGCAUUUAUUUUUUAAUCUGAAAUAUAAAUAGUUCUGAAUUAGUCUAAAUUCUAAAUAAAAUUGAAUAUCUAAUUCUGAAUGAUUUAUUUUUUGUCUAAAUUGUUAAAAAUAAAUAUUAAUUUUUUUUGUAUUUUUAACUUAAAAAAUCUGAAAACUAAUAUUUUUACAUUUGUGCCUUUACGAAUUAUUAAUGUAAACAAAUAAUAAGCAUAUCAAAGAACUUAAAUAAAAUAAUAUAUUAUCAUGAGAUAAAUCAUGUUCAAUUGAAUACAACCCCUUAUAUCGUAAAUUAGUAUAUGUUAAUCAAUUUUAUUGUAGUUCAUGAUGUUUUAUAUGAAAAUAUUCAUAGGAAUAAUGAAGAUAAAUAAUGCUAAUUUGAAGAAAAUAAAAAAAUAAAAAUAAUAUUAGUCUACCACUAUGCUAUCACAAGUUAUAGAGAUUGGUAAUAAUGCUAAUUAUUAAAUUUUAUUUAAGUAAGGAUGAAAAUUAAUUAAUUAGAUAGGGAUAUUUUGGAGAAUAUCUUUUAAUGAUAUCAUUUAGAUUUUUAGAUAAAACAAAAAGUUGAAAAAAUUGGCUUAAUAACUUAAUGACUUAAUGACUAUAACUUUUAAUUAAGUUAAAGAAAACGGACUUAAUGACUUAUCUGAUUGAAAUUAAGUCAAUUAAAUCAUUAAGUCAAAAAGAAAAAAAAAAAAAAGAGCCCCUAAGUUAAGGUUGGUCAAAUGCUGCUAAAUAUAAUAACAAAAUAUUAUAAGAUACAUAUUUUCUUUUUAAUAAAUUGAAUAUAUGUAUAACCUUAAAACUAAUUCUUAGGGUUAUUUGGGAAUGUUGUAGCUUUUAAAAUAAUUAAUGUUAAUUGUGUUGUAGAAAUAAUCAGUUGUGAAGAGAAUCAGUUAAGUGUUUGAUAAAUUUUCUUUUCAGAAGUACUGUGAGUUUUAAAAGCAGUUAUGGAUGUUUGAUAAAUUUUACUAUUAAAUUGCUAUGAGAAAACAAACGACUAUAAUGUAUAUAAUGUAGAAUAAAAUUUAUUUAUACGUAUAAAAACAUGUACAUAUAAUAUUUUUAAUUGUGUAUUAUAAUAGUUUUUACUAAAAAUAAAAUUUAUAAUAUAUUGAUUUUAUUUUUAUCUUAAAACAAUUGAUAAUUAAAUUUAUAAUAUAGUGAAAUAAAUUUAAUAAUAAUUCGACUAACAAAUUGAUAUUAAUAAAUUGAUAUUGAUGAAUUAUAAUAAAAAUUUAUUAAAAUAUUAAUUCUGUUUCCAAUUUGAAUAAGGAUAAUUUUGGGUUUAGGUAAUAAUUUUAAGGAUAUUUAUGAAAUUGUAUUAAAGGAUUAAAUUGAUUCUCAAAAUCAGAAUCUAAAAGCUACUCAUUCCCUACUUUUCAAAAUCAGCUGUAAGAGGGACUGAUUUUGACAAAAGUGAUUUUAAUUUUCUGUUACACCAAACACUAAAAUUAGAUUUUAGAUUUUUAAAAUCACUUUUAAAUCCCCCAAAAGUAAAUCCAAACGGGCCCUUAAUGCUUUAUUGGAAAAAUAUGUAGUUUAUAUGUAGAUAAUAUAUAUUAUACUUAAUUGUUAGGGUUUGAAAAGGAUUGGGAAAAAAAAUGUAAAUUAAAAGGAUUGGGAAAAAAAAGUCAAUUAUGGAAGCCAUUUAUGUUUUGCAAUUGGCGAAGACAGAAAAUUUUUUUUGGGUGGGCUAAAAAUUUUUUCCAAGUCCAUAUGUGAUCUCAAUUAAAGAUAUAAAUCUUAAAAGGAAGUUUCAUUAAUACAUAAGAAAAUACAUCAUAUCUAAGAAGCAAUUAAAUUACAAUUAAACACUACUUAAGUUGUGCCUUACCAUACUUUCGGGAGUUAAACUCAUAUAUUAUCGAGUAUAGACAUCAUUACCUUUGUUAGUGAAUUUGUGAUUGAUUCUUUUAACUUCUUUUAUAGUUUUCUCUUGUUUCGAUUGCAACGAUUGAACGAGUAUAGACAUCAUUUCAAAAUCAUACUGUAUUGUUGUCCACAAAUUCUCUUUCAAUGUAGACAACAAUACAGUAUGAUUUUGAAAUGAUGUCUAUACUCGUUCAAUCGUUGCAAUCGAAACAAGAGAAAACUAUAAAAAGAAGUUAAAAGAAUCAAUCACAAAUUCACUAACAAAGGUAAUGCAACUGUCAGUCCAUCACUAUGACACAUUGAUAUUAUCCAGAAGUCAGGCAAUAAGUUUAAUUAACAAAUUAACAUUAUAUAAUAUACUGGAUCAAAUCUAUGAUCUACCUAUAUCAAUGAUCAAUUUAGCCAUUUAAAAAUUUGAAUGAUAGAAUUCAAUGGCUAAAUUAUCUUCAUUUGAUCUUACACAAUGAAAUUGGAACAACAAUUAAAGAGUAUGAUUUUUAGUCUUUAUUACCUUAUAAUUAAUAAAUAUAUUGUAAAUGAUUGAAUAAAAAUAAAUCUAUUAUCUAUUCUUACCAAGAAGAAGGCGAAGAAAAAAAAAAAUCGUGUUUGAAAUCUCGAAUGAAGUAAAUGCUCACUAUUUAAAUUUAUUUAUAUGAUGACAAAGUUGUAAAUUAAUAGAGUGGUACAAUUGUAAAUAAGAUAGUGGCAUAGUUUCAAUUUUGUAAAAUUUGGACAGGCUAUAGUCCAUCUCAGUCCACACGUAGCCUUGCCACUAGGGAUGGCAAUGGGGAGGGGAGGGGAGGGGACCAAUCUCCCCGUACCCAUCCCUGAUAUUUUGCGUAUGUCUCCGUCCCCUCCUCAUCCUUGUCAUAAUUGUUUGAGAGAAUCUUCAUCCCCUCUCCGAAUAAUAACAGGAGAUUCCCGAUGGUCCCCGAUCCCCGAAUAACUAAUACAUAUAUUUUUUUUGAGUUAAUUAUAUUAAAAUAAAAAAUUCAAACAAAAGUAAAGUUCGAAAUAUAUUUUACAUUAACAUUGAUCCAUUAUAAAAGUCACAUGCAAAAUACAAAUUAUCAAAAUAAUUAUCUUUGUCAAUCUUCAUAAUCCUACAAUAAAAAGAAAAAGAAUUUACUUUUAUAUCGACAAUAAAAUAAAUGAAAUAAAUGUAGAUACUUAAUUAAUAUUUUUAAUAAAACAAAAUUAAAAUUAAAACAAAAUUUUUGGGCUAAUAAAAUCUACCCGGCCUUUUUAAUGUCCUAAAUAAAAAUUUAAGACUUUAAUUAGUUAAUUAAGCCUAAAAGUUUAAUAAUAUGAAUAUUUUAAUAUUUGUUACUUUUACCAAUAUUUAUAAUUUUAUAAUAUAAUUCAAAUAUUAGUAUUUAUUUACUAGUAAUUUUAAAAAAUAAAAUUAAAAUUAAAAAUUAAAAAUUAAAAUAGGAAAAUAGGGAGGGGAUGGGGAUUCCACAUCAUCCCCGCCCCUUCCCUGAAUAAGAAACUGGGUAAGAAAAUUUCCUCAUCUCUUCCCUGAAUAAGAAAUUGGGUAUAGAAUUAUCUCCGUACUCUCCCCGAAUGGGAAAAAUCCCCGAGGGUACCCGUCUCCGUGGGGAUUUUUGCCAUCCCUACUUGCCACCGGUAUAAACAUGGAGAAUAGUUUAUAAAUCCACUAAGCUUAAUUAAAGUAAAAUACUUGACAUUAGGAAAUUUCCAAUAAUCUUGUUCAUCUUAACCAAAUUCUUAAAGUGAAAAGGAUUAAUGGUACCUUGUGUUAUUUUGCUUUAGUAAGAGAAAGAAGAAAAAAGAAAACAAAUCUCUUUCAUAGGGGCUUGACCAAUUUUUUGUUUCACGCAAAAAUUGACGGCCGUUAUGACCGUAAAUGCCUCUGUUAGACUUGACGGAGAAGUCUGGGGGUUUACGCGAUGGUCAUCAGCGCCUGGAAAUUUUAUGAGUUCAAUUAGUCAAAAAGGAUUGAUCUUCGCCUCAGAUGGAACGACUCACAAGUAAUUCUUUUGGCUCGUACCGUCCACGAAGCUUCAUAUUCCCACAAUGUGUUUCUUUUUUCUUUUUCUUUUUAAUAAAUUAUAAUCAGAGUUUUUGAUGGAAAAUUUUAGAAAUGACCCUUACUUUUUUCGGUUACCCGAAUAGCAAAUAAAAUAUUCCUUUUUCAAUUACACAGGUAAGGAAAUAAAUUUAUAGUCUAGUAUCUACUGUUUGUAACACAUAGCAAAUGAAAUUUUCCUUUUUUCAAUUGCACAAACAUGUAAUUGUUUUGUACAUACCUUUUCUAGCGGCUUCAAAAAGUUUCAAACCUUAUAGAAUCGGUGCCGAAGCUAAAAUCAUUUUUUUGGAUGGGUUAGAUUUUUUUUAAAAAUGAAACUUAUUUCUGAAAUUUUUUUUAUACAAACAAAAUUAAGCACACUAUAAGCAAAAAUCUAACCACAAAACUAAAAAAAAAAAAUACAAUGUAAAUAAGAAAAAUAUUAUCAAAUAUUAAAUUUAUUUUUAUUUUUUUAUAAAUAUUAAAAAGUAAAUUUAUAAAUUAUAAUUUUUUUUUCAAAAAACUGCCCGGGUUAGCCUACCUUUUAACUUUGCCUCUGUAUGGAAUGGGUCAAACUUUGGGUUAGUAUUUUAAUUAAUAAGAAGAUUACUGAUCUUGCGUGCGGUGUGCCCGAUAAACACUGUUGUAAUUGAAGAAAAAACGGUAUUGCUAUUGCUGACUCUUAUCAAAGGCCUCGAUAAAUCAACCAUUUCUUCACAUCAAACUGAGGCAUAAGAAGUAUGGAGCCUAGGUGUAGGAGAGAAAGCUAUAACAUAUAUGACACAAGAUCAAUUUGGAUAGACCUUGCUGAUCAUGUCUGUGAAUGAAGAAGAUUCACCUUGAUGCCAUAGCGGAGCAAAUUAUUAGGAGGCAAGAUGGACAUGUCACAUAGUUAAGGGGGAUUCUAAAUCCCGAAGGGUACAAAAGCCUAUGCUUUGAACCUCAAAGCAUUAGGAGGCAGGAUGGACAUGUCACAUAGUUAAGGGGGGUUCUAAAUCCUAAAGGAUACAAAAACUUAUGCUUUAGUGUCUAACACAAGCAAGUUAAAUUCUGUUUGAAAUUGAGGUUGAGAAACUGUAACUUAAAAACUAAAGCACUAAAGUGUUAGGUAAACACUAACGUUGUAGUUUGGAAGUUAAAUUAAUUUAAUUUUAUAUUUAUAUGAUGAAAAAUUUAUUAUAUCUUUAUUAAUUUAUCAAAAUUAUUAUUUAAAAGUUGUAGUUGUUACAUACUGUUAACUUUAAUUUCUUCAUUAUAGAUUUUUUUUUUUUUUUUUUUUACAACGGUUGUAUCUUAGAAGCCAUAGGACUUCAAUACCAAACAAGACUUUCAUUAACCACUUUAAUAGAGUUAGACUAUCUAAUUGACCAAUCCAAAAAAACAAAAAAGUUUGUUGGUUACCAGAAUUUUACGUUCUGUUAACAUAUAAUUUUUUAAGGUAAAAAAAGAAGGGGUGCUAAUCAAAUUUUUGGGAAAAAAAGAAAAAGAAAAAAGUGCCGUACUUAUCAAAUUUCUAAAUAACCAUGUUGUUAAAUUUAAAUCAUACACUACAAUAAAUGUGAUGUAAAUUAUGUAAUAAAAGAUUAUAGAAAGAUCAAAGAAAUAGGGUUAUAAAUGGGGACUCUACCAUGUUACAAUUGUGAUACCAUAUCACACAGUAUUUAUUUUUAUCCCAUAAAACCGUUGGAUUUAAAAGCAAGUGAUCUGACACGUGAGAGGUAGCCACGUUUGUCUCAAAACAUACCGGAAAAGUCGGUUAAGAAAAGGUAAAGUCACCGGUAGCAAAACUCACAGUUUUUGUCUUACCUCUCUCAAAAUGCACGGUGACUGUACGCAUCGCCAGCUCUCUCAAUACUCACGGUGACUGUACGCAUCGACACCUCAAAAUCUCUAAUGGAGCUUCUCUAUCCUGGCCGUCUCGUCCAACACCAAAAGACCAAGUAUCGCUGGCGCCGUCAUUUGGGUAUAAUGGGUUUCAAUUUUGAACCAAUAGAAGGAAAUUUUGUGAAAGAGAGAGGGGGAGGGGAAUUCUCAAAAAUUCGUCAGCCAUGGAAGGCUUGAUAUUCUUUUCUUAAAUCUUAAAGCAUUUCAGAUAUUUGGGUCGUUGUGAUUUUUAUUUUGUCAUGAUGAAUUUUUUUACUUUGGAUUUGUCUCAUUGAAAGGUUUAUUUUAUUUUUAUUUUUUGUGGAUCAUUGAAGUUGCUAUUUUUGGUAUUAUAAAGAUGGGUUGUUUGCAUGCAUUGCAAGAAUAUUGACCUGUUAUGCCAUGUUUGUCAAUUUCAAUGAAAUCUGAGGAAACCCAUUUGCCUGGUUUGUUCAAGGAGCCUUCAGAUUUGUGAGUCAUUGUGUAGUGGGUUUACAAAAUGGUUUGUUGUUGAAAAUGCUUUGGUUGUGACGGGUGAAAUGGUGCCGAAGAUAAGUUGGUUUGAGCACUGGAGUAAUCCUUUUUUUUUUUAAUGUAUGUAUAUAUAAAAAGGAAGAAAUAUCAAGUUUCAUAUACAGUGUUACUUGUUUUUUAUGGCUCAUACAUCGUUUACAUGCCCUCUUUUUCCUUUCAACCAGAAAAUAUCCACAGCGGCUGUAUAUUGUAUGUGGUUCUUUAGCCAACAACAAUAUGUUAGUUUGAUCAUGGAAGUAUAAAUUGAAAAGUGGCAUAAUAUUUUUGUUUUAACCUUUAAUUACCACUUUUCAGUGAGGUGUCUAUUUUGCUUGCUCGUUCAUUUUUUUAUGGGAUUUCGUGUUUGAUCUAGUUUGACAUGCAUUAUAUACAAUUAUCAAUUUUACCAUGAUUAGAGUUUCAUAAAUUUCUUGAAGUGUUUUGUGUUAGGAUCGGUUUAGAAGUGUUAAUUUGUGAUAGACAGCACAUGCAUGAGCCACGAAGAAUGCAUGAGCCACGAAGAAUGCAUGAGCCACGAAGAUCUGGAAGAAUGCCAAAGCCAAAUCCUAAGUUUGGUACGUGAGGGCAUGAGUCCCAUGCAAGCCAUGCAUGAAACAUGCAUGUGCUGAGAUCGUGAAGAUACGUGCUGGGGCUGGAGCCGUGAUCUAGGAAUACGCUUAUCAACGAUUGUGCAGCGAGUAAGGAGGGAAGAUAAGACACGGAAGUUGUUUUCGAUUAUCUUUCGGUUUCGAAUUCUUAGCUAAGUUGUUAUACUCGUUUAUUUAGCCGUAAUUGUAGGAUGGAAACCAAAGUCUUGUUAUUAUAAAUAAGCUCCAGAAUAUGAAUAAAAGUAUUGAGAAUUCUAAACAAUAAUUAUUUGGUCCUUUCUCGCCAUAAGCAGAAAAAUAUCACUUGUGUUACGCGUGAUCAUUGGCUGUCUCUGACUGGGACCUAUCAAUUGGUAUCAGAGCGGGUUAACAAUGAUGACCAACAAAGAAUGUAUUGAGCGAAUUGAAGUUGAUCUGAAAAGCAUGGAGAGCCGAAUGGAACGCAUGGAGAUUGGGAUCAAUGACAAGCUUCAGCGAUUAGAAGACACCAUCAGCAAAUUAGCAGAAGCUUUCAAUGCAUCCAAAGACACCACUAGCCACGGCACCAACGAAACCAUUGGUUCACCGCAGCCAAUUCGAGAAGAAAGUGAAGGAGUAGUGAAGCUGCACGGUAUGCCCAAGUCAAUCAUCAGCGAUCGUGACCCCAUAUUCAUCAGCAAAUUUUGGCAAGAGUUCUUUAAUUUAUCAGGCACCAAACUCAAAAUGAGCUCGGCGUACCACCCACAAACCGACGGCCAAACGGAGGUAAUUAAUCGAUGCUUGGAACAGUACUUGAGAUGUUUUGUUCACCAGUGGCCGCGAAAGUGGCACUCUUUUUUACCGUGGGCAGAAUUUUGGUACAACACCACAUUCCACGUCUCCACCGGAAUGACUCCAUUCCAAGCUUUGUAUGGAAGACCACCUCCAGCCGUGCCCAUGUAUCAACUUGGUUCCUCGCCGGUGCAUGAGGUUGAUCAAGCCUUACAUUCGCGUGAUGAACUGCUCUUACAAUUAAAGAAAAACUUAGCCACAACAGCUAACAGGAUGAAGCAAACAGCUGACAAGGGUCGCCGCGACGUUGAGUUCACAUAGGGAGAUAUGGUGUUAUUAAAGUUGCAGCCCUAUCGGCAGACUUCAGUGUUCAGAAGGGCACAUCAGAAAUUAGUUUGCAGGUACUUUGGGCCGUAUUUAGUUCUUCGCAAAGUUGGAGCCGUUGCCUACGAACUACAAUUACCAGAGAAUGCUCGAAUUCACCCGGUGUUUCACGUCUCUUUGCUUAAGAAAGCCGUGGGCGAUUUCCUUAGCAACAGCGUCGAUUUACCACCUGUGGAUGAUGAAGGCUCGGUGAUCAUGGACCCUGAAGCUAUCCUUGACACACGUUGGGUGAAGAGAGGAGGUAAAGUGAUUGAGCAGAAUCUAGUCCGUUGGAAAAAAAUGCCGGCUGAAGAAGCAACAUGAGAGGACACCACAAUGUUGCACCAACAGUUUCCCAAUCUGACCCUUGAGGACAAGGGUAUUCUUCGAGGGUGGGGCAAUGAUAGACAGCACGUGCAUGAGCCACGAAGAUCUGGAAGAAUGCCAAAGCCAAAUCCUAAGUUUGGUACGUGAGGGCAUGAGUCCCAUGCAAGCCAUGCAUGAAACAUGCAUGUGCUGAGAUCGUGAAGAUACGUGCUAGGGAUGGAGCCGUGAUCUAGGAAUACGCUUAUCAACGAUUGUGCAGCGAGUAAGGAGGGAAGAUAAGACACGGAAGUUGUUUUCGAUUAUCUUUCGGUUUCGAAUUCUUAGCUAAGUUGUUAUACUCGUUUAUUUAGCCGUAAUUGUAGGAUGGAAACCAAAGUCUUGUUAUUAUAAAUAAGCUCCAGAAUAUGAAUAAAAGUAUUGAGAAUUAUAAACAAUAAUUAUUUGGUCCUUUCUCACCAUAAGCAGAAAAAUAUCACUUGUGUUACGCGUGAUCAUUGGCUGUCUCUGACUGGGACCUAUCAAUUUGUGAAACUUAGAAAAUUUAUUUAUACAAUGCUCUAUAUUCUCUCUUUAUAAUUUGUGAAGAAACAGAAAAAAGAGGGAAGUCGUGUUUGUAUUCUCUGAAAAAGAAAACAACCUGAUCCCACCCUGACCUACCCCCAUCGGCAGCAGUAUGGACCUAUAAAGUUCAUCCAACUACUUCGAUAGAAUUGUUAUUGAACCCUUGAUUGACAUGUUUGACUUUCUGGGUAUUUGUAUUUUUCUAGUUUUUUUUUCUUCUUAUUUGUGCAUUUCUCAUUUAAUAGAAUGCAAGAAUGAUGAUUUUUUUUUCAGGGGCUUGAUAGUGAGCAUCAGCAAAAUCAAGUUACGUAGUUGAAUCAAAGAUAUCGCAGCUAUUGGUUAGCUGGGAGCUGUUUUUAUCUAACCGGCCUGGAAGCUCAUAAUCCAAAUCCAUUACGAUUCAUUGUUUUUAUCUACAUGUGGAUUAAUACAUCGGAGCAUCAGUUAGUUGCUGUAAAUUAGUUUAUGAAUUAUUUAUUGAUUGGUGGAACAAUAUCUAAAUGAAACUUUUGACAAAGACACUCUUCUCAGUAUCUAAAUGCAACUUUAUCUAAACAAUAUAAACAGACACGUUAGUAACUUCUCCAAUUAACUCCACUGCAUGUAUCUUGUCCAUCUUCAACCCUGAAUGCUUAAGUUCACAGAGAUCUUCGAACUUUUGACAGGCAAUGCCGCCCUCAAAACAAACCCCAACCUAUACGCAUGUAAAUAUAUUUGGAUUUAUCAUCUGUAUACAGCAAAACAGAUUUUGCACCAAAAUUGAUAAGUAAAUUUUAUAUAUACUAGCAUCAUGAAUCAAAAAGCAAAGGAAAAUAAGCCAAUAUCAUUUAUUUGUGGGUGUGUGUGUGUGUAAUAGUUUACCAAAUGAAAGCACCAUUAGUAAAUUUGAAAAAGAAAAAAAGGAAAAAGGAAUUUCAUGCAAGAAUUGGAAUCCAAAAUGUAAUGGCUCAGUCAGUCUGGAGUCAUUUUAUUGUCGGUGUUGUAUAGUGCCAUAUUAAAGAACAAAGCACUAGUAAGAGAAAAAAGCAUCCCUCACACAACAAACUCCAUUUGUCAUGUUCUAUAGUUCCCCACCCAUUUAAACAACACAUAAAUUGAUAUAAUAAACUUAAAACUUACCUUAAAGAGUAAAAUCUGCACUUAAACUCCACCUACCUGAAGUCCCUAUCAUCAUAGAGAGAUUUAACUGAUAUUGGUUCCAUUAUGUUUGCACAAAGAAUUGCUUUUGUACAUUUAACUUGCUUCUUCAGUUCAGCUGUAGCCUUGGCAAACUUCCUCAAGUCUCCCCAUUAUCAAUUUGUUUAUUGAGCUCAUCUGCAAAGUAUUCAAGCAACAAUAAUCCAUGUUCUGACUGCCAAGUUCUGCAUCUCAUCUAAUAUCCUUAACCUGCAAAAUUGUCAAAUAUCAACUAGCGUCUAAAAGUAAUUAGAUAUGUAAAACAUAACAAGUGGCACAUAAAGAUUGUAUAGAGCACAGAUGAAGUGAAGAAAAAAUAAUGCUACGGGAAUAAUGACCACUCAACUGAUAUUGCAUGCUUAUAUCGCAAAAUUAUUUAGUCACAGAGUACUACAAAUACUGACAAAUAGCUUAUGGAUCCAUCAUACUGGCUAUCAAAUACUAUUGUGCUAACUAUGUUAUCAUCGGCUUCCAAUGCAUGAUUGCAGCUCUUUAAAUCACUAGAUUUCCGCUUACGAGCCCCCGCUGGCCUCAUUCCUGUAAUGAAAUUACAAAAUCAUUUAUCGUUUCCAAUCUCACAUUCUCUGAAUCUAAUAAAUAAACAUACUGUUCUUGCAAGCUAAUUACAAGUUUUAAAUCUUUUAAAAUAAAUAAUAAUAAGUACGGGUUUUAAUAAGGAAUUAACUACUGCAUCGGUUGAUUCGAUCCGCACAAGAACAGAUCAAAGCGACCCGAAAUUUACUCUGAUUUGAUAUAUACCUUAACUUUCAGCACUGCUUAACUUUCGAUUGUACUUUGCAGCGACGAUUAUAAUUUCACCGUCAAUUGCCCAAAAGUGAAAGGUCAUAUUCGUGUUCUAAUCACCAGAAGUUUUUAAAUCCCACAAAAUUGCAAUCCUCCAAUUCUAAUUUUAUUUCUUAAUUAUUGUCUCGAGAUCAAUUUUGUGCUGAAAUCAGUGAAACUCUAAUCAGUUCUAAGAAAUUUCCGGAACCCGCGCUCACUGAGCUGUUAUUAUAUUAAUACUCAACCGGCUGCAACGGUUGCUAGUCACUGCAUCAAUUAUCCAAUAUUUAAUUUCAGCCGUUAUAUCGAACAAGGAAACAUCCAACGACUUUGUUGAAUGAGGGCAAAAACUGUGAUAUGGUACCACAAUUGUAACGUAGACAGACCCUAUAAAUGGGGUUAUUGUGAAAGAAUAUAGAGGGAGGAAUUCAAGCAAUAAAUAAGAGACACGCCAUACAGCCCAUACCGUCCUUUUCUGUCAAGUUCAUCAUUCUCAUUGGACACAGAGGGUAAAGAAGCAAAAAUGUAUGUAAGACACAUGCAUAUUAUUUAAUUAAACGUGUUAUUUGGCACUUGUUAAAUUGUUCCCUUUGUAGGUCAUUGUGGACUCCAAAUUAAUUGUACGCCUUUUAAACAGAAAUAAGUGCAUUACAUAUUUUUUUUAUCUUUUUUUACUUUAUUUUUGGAUUUUUUUUUUUGGAAAAAGCGAUGACUCAUGAGAAGAGGAAGAAGAAGAAUAGUAGAACACAUGUAAUAUCAGUUCUUUUUUUUUUUACUUUUUACUUCUUUCUUUGAAUUUUUUUUUUUAAAUUUUUAUCAUCCAUUUUGUGUCAUUGGAGUCCAAAAAUAUUGUGCAUAUAUAAAUAAUGCGGCUUCUGAGUUUAUGACAAUUUACCAUGCGUUAAUAACGCUUGAUGAAAAUGUUGCAAUCAGGAUUAUUCUUUUAUUUUGUCAAGUUACACUGUUCAAUGUUCUCACUGUAAGGUUGACUUCAAGGGAUGAAAUCGUUUAGAUUAAAAAUAAAAAUAAAGGAAAUUCAUUCUCUUCAAUUUUUUAUUUUAUUUGUACUAAUGUUACAAAUAAAAUAUCAAAUAAUUAUUGAAAUUAGUCUAUAUUAACUCAUAUACUAGGAAUGUCUAUCUACUUACAUUUUGUAAGGAAAAAGACUCUCCACUUAAUGUAUUUUUCGAGUGCCUGGCUACCUUAUUCCUAUGUGCUUCAGUGGGAUGCAAUAACUUUUGCUGAUAGCCUAAUAGGCCCUACAAAUCAUAAUUUAGCAUAGAGAAAUGUUGUUACAUGUUUGUUGGGAUGAUAAAAAAGUCCGGGCCAACUCUGUUCAUUUCUGUGGACUUUUGCUGGAAUUUCCCACGUGAGGGCUUGGACAAGGGUUAAAGGAAAAAAACUUAGACUAGGUCUAAUCCCUUUAUUUUAAAAAAUAUAUAAAAAUUAAAAUAAAAAUAAAAAAUGGAAAAAUGAAAAAAGAAGGCUUAAAUUCCAAAUUCAUUUAUUGAUAACGAUAAACAAAAAUUUAAAAUUAUAAUACUAAAUUUUUUUUAAGUGUUAAUUAAUUAAGAGAGUACUUGAAUUAGAAAAUUAAAUACUAGAAAAUUAAAUCUCUAAAUUUUUAUUUGCUUUAUUUAAUAUUUUAUUUUGAAAUAUUUAUUUUCUUUAAUUCAUUGUUGAUUAUAACAACUUGAUUAUUAUUAACUCAUUUUAAGUUUACAACAAUUUAAAAAAUUUUGAAAAAAAAAAGUGAAAGCCCAAGCCCGACCCAGCUCCGUAUGGGCUCGGCCCUUACAUUUCCACUCUAAUGGCCUUGGGCUUGGGCUUGAAAAAACCGAACAUGCUCACAUUUUGCUAUCCUUGCCUGCAUGUAAGUUCAAAGUUGCAAAUUGAUGAAGUGGAAAUAUAGAAGAUUGAUAGAUUAGAGAAACUAAGUUUCUUAAUAAUAAAAUUUUAUUAGAAAAGUCUAAAUGAAUAAAACGAUAGCCUACCCCUUUUAUACUAAUCCCAAACAUCGAGAAUUUAUCAAAAUAGUAAAAUUCAAAAUAUUGUUUUAUAAUAAAAUUCUCCUAAUCUAAAUAAGAAAAACAAAACAAACGACACCCAAUUUUAAUAUCUAAAAAAAUAAAAUUCUAAAAAUAAUAUAAAAUAACUUAAAACUGUAAAAAGACCAAAAAAAGAAAUAGAAUUUUUUACUUAAUUAUGGAGCAAGACAAGGCAAGCAUUCUAAGUUUGAUUAGUCUCGUCGUAACUUUUGAAAUGAUAUAUUAUAUGCCUAAAAUGAACAUAUAAAGCCCAAGUUAUAACUCCUAAAAGAUACCUCCUUCAUGAUGAUCCUACGCAACUAUCUCACGUCGAAAAUGAAUGCAAAAGUUACAUUUCAAAUUAAAUUCAAAACAAUCAAUUCAAGCAUUAAUGCCGUGUUUUUUUUAACCAAAAUACUCUCUAAGGAUUUUAUAAAUUGCUUUCUAAUUUUAUUUUGCAAAACACACCAAAUCAAAGUGAUUUUUCUCUUUUCUCUCAAACAAUUUCAACAUUUGGUAAUAGAGCUGAUGACAGGCAUUAGUAAACAAUGUGCAAUAGUAAUGCACAACAAUAUAGAAAAGCAAAUUGGUAAAGUGUAAACUAUGAAAUGAUAAAAUAGAGCCUUUUUUUUUUAAGAUCACAUGUUAAGUUAUUGGCGUAUUUUGUCGGGAUCAUAUACUUUUUUAGAUCUACGUGCUUUUGGUCAAAUUUAGCAUAAUUAAAAGUUCAAAACUGAAGUUCAUAUUCAAUAAUAAUAAACUAAUAAUAAUAGAUAAUGUAAUACUGACUAUUAAUUUAGAUCCUACGAUAUUAAAUUUUUUUUAAUACUUAAUAAAAAUAACAACAAUAAUAAUUUUUUUUAAGGGUUAACUUAAUUGUUAACUUAGACUUACAUUGAGUCAUAAAUCAUAGUUUAUAACAACAUUAAUGCAUAUAUUCAUAAAAAUCAUGAUAUUUAUAAUUUAUUUAUUAAAAUCAUGAUAUCACCUAUUCAUUUAACAAAUUAUAAACAUAAAACAAUUAGAUUUUUUUUAAGAUUAAGAAUUAAAUGAAUCUAAAAAACUUAAGCUAAUAAAAUGCAUUAAAGAUUCAAAUUCAAAUUAUUUGCAAAAUUAUAAUUAUUCGUAAAAUUAUAAAAUUUUAAGUUUACUUUCAUUAAAAAGCUUUUACCUUAAUAUACUUUGACUCGCAUGCUAUUGAUAACGCAUAAGCCACGUGCUAAUCGUCCAGUGAAACAUUUUUAUUGAUGUCCUUUUCACGUGCUGUGUUUUAGCCUAUUUUUAAGCAUAUCAUGCUUUUAAGAUCCACUUGCCUAAAAUUCUCAACUCAGCCCAGCACUCGUGCAUGCCAUGCCUUGUCGCUUACCCUACCAAAACGUCCUUGUGCCGUACCAUGCUGAACGGAUAUGUGUCGUGCAUGUGUCGUUCCACCUGUCACCUGGUCCAUUAGUCAUCUCUAGAAAACACCAUAUAUUUAUUGAGUGUGUUGCAAGCAUUGUGUCGCAAGUUGCUCAAAUUUCCCCUAAACGGAGGCUAAAUUAGCGCGCACGAGUACGGUCAGUAAAAGUCUGCCCAAUAAUGGGAUGCACUCAACAGUAAGGUGCGCUGAGCGAUGGGCUGCCUCAUAUAACUAGUGAGUUAUGGUGCACUUAGUAAGUGAAUAGCCCAUAAUCAACAAGCCUAACUCGAUUUUUAGAUUUCUCUACACCUUGUAAAUGGCUAGAUUUUUAGGCAAGUUGCAUGAACUCUCUAUAAAAUAGGGGUGAGCACCCACUAUUUGCUCACCACCACACCACACACACAGCACCUAGCAACUCAAAAACUCUCGUAAAAAUCUCUCUUAUAAUUUCUCUUUUGUGAGCAAUAAAAUAUUCUUUAGCCAUAUUGCUCUCUUCUCUCUAGCAGUAUUGCAAACAUCCUUACUUGGCUAGUUUGAGAAGCUCUUUAGGCUUACUUAACAACUUUUGUACUAGAAGUUAUGUAAGUACUGCACGGGAUUGUUGCGCAAAAUAGUCAUCUCGUGACAACCGGCUUAGUUUUGCUUUGCACAUUUACGCCCACAAUAAUAAAAGCCAAAAUAAGAUAUAAAAAAAUGUUGGGAUUUGACAUCAAGUAGAAGAGGUUUUGCCCACUCCAAAAUCAUCAAAAUGAUUAAUUAUCUUCUAUAUAACCUGAUGAUUUUUUUAACCUUUGAGAAAGCAACCACAGAGGUGGAACAAACUUCUACUCAUGGGGACUUGACAUACGGUUAAUGAAGAAGGGUAAUUUCGUAAAAUUCCAAUCAAAAUUAGAAAAAAGGCAAGCCAUAUUCAAAAGUCAAUCUUGAUCAAACAAACGGCAGGAGGGACAUCUGUAAUUACGGCAUUUUCGAGGAAUUGUUUCUAAAACUAACUAAAACGGGAAAAUGGAAAGGGACAAACACGAAAGCUCAUAGUUUGCUUGGUUGGGCUAUGUUCUGCUAGUAGGAGAGACAGACUGUAGAAAGGGUUUCUUUUCUCUUUUUUUUUUUUUUCUAAACUCUUUUUUUUUUCAAAUAGACAUAUAGCCACGUGUUGUCUCAUAUAAAAAAUAAUACUUUAUAUAAGUCCUAGGUCAGUUGGGCUGGAAAACAUUUAAAAUCGAACAUAUCAGGCACGUUGUAAGUUCGCAAUUGGAGAAUCAUGUUGUCAGCCCCGCAACCCCCAAAUGGGAACUUUAGAUAGAAAAAUAUAGCGUCGCAACGAUAAUAUUUAUUAAUAAUAAAUUUUCUUAUUACAAUUGUUCUUGUCAAAAACUCUUUGAUGGUAUUUCAUGUGUUGAAAAAAAUGUAAAAUAGUUUCAUUAUCAAUACAAUUAAAAACAUAUUUUUUUAAUAUAUACAACUAAAUUAUCACUUGAUUUGUUUUAAUAUAAUGCAACAUGAAGAACAAAUAUGAAUACACAUACAUUAGGGAAUGGCAAUGGGAAGAAUAGGGGAGGGGACCGAUAUCUCCAUACCCAUUUUCAAUAUUUUGUAUAUGUCCUCAUCUGCUCUCCAUCCCAUCAGAAUUACUUGAAAAAAUUUUCAUCCUCUCUCCAAAUAAUAAGAGGGGAUCCCUGAAAGUCUCCGAUCUCCAAGUAAUUAAUACAUUUUUAAUUUUUAAUUUUAAUUAAUUAUAUUAAAAUAAAAUUUUAAUAAAAGUAGAAUUAAGGCGGUAGCUAGCUACCAUAGAAAAUUAGAAAUUAGGUUUUAUGAUGUUGCCUUAACUUUUGUUUUAGUAGAUAAACGUUUAAAAUAUGUAACGAAUAUUAUAAAUAAAUAAAAUUGAGCCAACAAGAUCCUGUUUGGCUUUUUUUAUGUCCUGAAUAGAUGUUUAAGAUUAUAGCUAGUUAAGUAGGCUCAUUAAAGCAUCUGACAAAUUGUUACAUAAAACCAGGAUAAUUAGAGUGCGAAUCAAAUAACCCAAAUUAUAGAUUCCCUAAUCAAACAAACAUAACAAAAAAAAUUUUGAAAUACAAUUUUUUUUUUUUUAUCAGAAAUGCGCAUUGGCACCAAAUAAAAUUGAGCAAGAGCUAAUGGUGUCCUACAAGUUGACAUGGUCUACCUUUAGCAAGAUUCAAAUAAGAAGGACCACAGUAAACAUAAGAGGAAGUAAUUUAACUUUAUAUAUAAAUCCUACAAUUUAGUUGCAAGUAAAAUAACUCCAAUCUGAAACAUCAAAUGUAUAAGAUUCGUAAGUAAAAAUAGGUUACACGAUUAGUUAUUACCUGGAUUACGUUGUAUAUAUUACAUGGUAUACCUAAUCAGACAAAUAACGUGGACAUGAAGUGAAUAACUUAAUUUGAAUCUUGCUAUUUUAUUUUAUAAUUUUAAACUAAUUAAUUCAUGCACACACAUUAUGUAUGCAUUAAGUGGAUACAAUACAACAGAAGUAUUCUACAAUCUCUUAUAUGAAAGUUCUUAAUUCAUGUACUCUUUUUAGAAUUGACCUUUUCAUAAUAUUAUUUGUGAAGUAUAUUUUCAAACUAAUUUCAGAAUAAUUUUAAAUUAUUGUAUAAGUCUAUGUAUCUAAAGUUUCAAUAAACCCCGCGGAAUUAUAAUAUUUAAUUCAUUUUUUUUUCCUCUAUUGAUAACAUCAUUAUCACUUUCAUAGAGUUUCAAUAAGCCCAGCCGAAUAACCUUUUGUCAACGUCACUGCAUAUGCCCCACCUUCUCCCUCUCGACUCUCUCAAGACACUCCAAAAAAUACUCUAAAGUCCAACAACAUUUUACAAUCUCUCUCGAUUUUUCUCGCUUCAGUUUACCAUCCUCAAACACGAACACGAACACGAACAUGAAUUAAGUUAAUUAGUUUAUGGAACACAAACUCAUCGUCAGCAUCAUAUCCUAAUUGAAAAAGAAGGAUUGCGAGGGAAACUAAGCAUGUGCCUUCAUUUUCACUUGAAAUAAAGCGCGAUGGAAAGAUCUCAUGUUAUCACAUGAUCCCGUGUAAUCACCUAGAAGCCCUUCCACGCACAUUUCUUCUCAAAUUGUCUUCUUCUAAUUUCUUGGGCCAUCGCGGAACCACAAUGUCAAUGCGAGGAUGAGCGAGUGCUGUUCAGCUCGCAGCAUUUGGAGCCGGAGCUCGGCUUCCCUUAUUUGUUGGUCGUUUGGUAGGCGUCGCCAAAAGGCAAAGAGCAUCCUCUGGCGUUCGUGGAGUUGGUCCUCGAUGCGAUCGAUUUCUUCUCCAAGUUGAGCAAGCCUUUGUGCCAUAGCCAUACAAUUAUUUACUUUCGAUCGAGCACUUUUCGUCUGCACCCAAAUGUUUCAUUAAUAUUUUGAAGUAUACACACCUGUUUCAACAACUAUCCGGAUCACGUUAAAAGACAAUUUUACCCUCACUUGAAGUGUAAAAUAACUAACUUGAAGUGUAAAAUAACUAAAAAAGCCACAACACUAGUUUUAAAUUCUAAUUGACCUGGGUGAAUAUUAAAAUUUCUUAAAGGUUAAAAAAAAAAGUAAAAAUGUUUUGUUAUGGGAAUUGAAAUAUCCCCUAUAUCUUCAUCCAUAAUCAUCUAUCCAUGAUAACAAUUUAAUAAACUUGAAAAAGCAAGAUAUCCAAUCCCAAUGAAUCAAACAACCAAUUUUCUUCAUAAAGUUUAGCUUUUGCUUUUAAAAAUUCUAACUCUUGAGACCUUAAAUAAACUCAUAUUCAAAUUUACAUUUUCUAUAAUGAAAAUCUUCAAUUUACCCUUUUAAUAUUUUGAAAAACAGGUCCAACUACAAUAUAAUUGUGGUUUCAUACCUAUUUUUUUUUAUCUUUUUGUGAUCCAACCCAAGAGUUGCAAAGGCUAUUCCAACGGUUUGGAUGUUAUUAUUUGAUUAUUAACAAUAUGGUCUCUUAUGUUUACUAAAAGAAUAAAAAAAGAUUAAGUUUCAAAAUUUUGACCCAUUAGUCCGUUAAAUAUUUUAUUAUCAAAGGUAAUUUAGUAAAUGAACAUAUUUAUAUAUUAAAAAUAUGGAUGAAUUAUUUUAACUUGCUAAAAUACUCUCAAAUUCCAUUUACUUAAAAUAUGAAUUAGAUUUUUAUAAUACUAUUUUGUAUUUAGUGUAACACAAAAUUAGACAAGGUUUUAUAUAAAUUUUGACAAUAUUAAAAUGAAAAAUUAAUAAAUAUUAAAUAAAUGCUUGGAUAGUCAUUUAAAUUCAUUAUAGAGUUUAUAAAUAAUAUUUUCAAAAUAAUAAAUUUCUAUAUGUAAAUUUGAAAUUAUGUAAAAUUACUUAGACUUUAUCACACAUAUGAAGCUGAUCAAUUAUUUAUUUAAUAUGAAAACAAAUGAAUUGUAUAAUAUUUAUUCUAUUACUUAAAUUUAAAAUUUGUUGAGAAGGAGAUAGAGGGAAUAAUUUUUUUUAGAAUUUUAAAAUUAUUAUAUUUUAAUUGAGUUUAUUACAUAAAAUUAUUAAAACUUUAGUUUUUAUUAUUUGUAUAAAACAAUAGGAAUUGUUGAAGAAAAUCCCAAAUAAAUUUUUUAGAAUUUUGUAAUUAUUAUAUUUUAAUUGGGGCUUAUUGUAUAAAAUUUUUAAAACUUAUAAUUUUUUAUUAUUUACAAAAAAUUACAGGGACUGCUAAAGUAAAUACCAAAAUGGUGUUUGGUACAACGGGGUAAGAUAGUUUUACCCUUGAAAAACAUUAAUUUACUUCCAUUUAUCAGUCAAAAGACUAAAAUAAAUGGAGACAUGUGGACGAGAAACUUUUUAACUUUUUAGUGGUAUUUGAUAAAUAUAAAUAAAUUGAAAAUUCUCGUUUUUACUUUUUAUUGGGCAUAAGUUAAAAAUCUUACUCUCUAUUUAUUAUGCUUUAACAAGAGAAAGAAAGAAAACAGAAAACAAAUCUCUUCUAUAGCAGACUUAACAAAAAUUUCAGCUGAGACUUAAACCGACUUUUUCAAGGAAAUGAAAUUAGGAGAACAAAAACACUUUGAAGUGGACUGCAUAUAUAUACUCAAAAAUAACAUACAACUUGAGUCAGUAAUGGUAAAGAAAACGAACGUACACAGACGGGUUUGGAUUUAGAUGAUGAAGAAUGCACUGAAAGCUUUGCAUUUGAGUUCUCUUUUUCGGGUGAGUAAGUUAGGGAACUGCAAGGCCGAUCAAUUUGAAAAAAGAAAAAAGAAAAAAACUAAAAUGUAAACGCAGCUUGAACUUGAUUUCUUUUGGUUUUUGGGGAGGGGACGGGGGGAGGGGAGGGAAUGUAUACGCAGCUUCAAACUUGGUUUCUUUUCGUUUUUUUCCCCGGGGGUGUGGAGGCCUGGAGGGAAUGUAAACGAACUAACGAAGCCUCAAUCCUCAUGCAGCUGUAUUUAUAUGAAGUGGGUACUGCUGACUGAUCCACGAAGGAAGACUUUUGAUGUCAUUGGUGUUUCUUUAUUUUUGACCUUUUAGCUAGAUGACAGAAGAAUGCCGAGUGCUACGGACACUCGCGAGUGUCUCAAUCGCGGCUCUCUAUAUAGACACGUGUCUAUCAAAAUGAAACCUUAUCAGAGAGACAGCCGCAAGUAUGACGAGACAAGCGCGAUCGUAAGGAUGGAAGCCGCAAGUAUGAAGAGACAGGCCCAAUCCACAACGAUCCAAGAGCAAUCAUUACCUGCAAACUCAACACAACACCUAAUUAACUUCAAACCCCACCAUAAAUCCACCAACAGUCACUAUUCGAAACAAAUCUACCUCAAAUGCGACGUCAAAUAAAAGGAAUAAAAAGGUUUCCUUAAAAGAGAGAGAGCUGCGAGUAUGAAGAGACAAGCACGGUCCACAACGAUCGAAGGCUGUGUGGUAUGUGUCUUGUAUAGAUUGAACAGAGCAAUCAUUACCUGCAAAACUGAACCAAACACUCAAUUAACAAACAAAUUUCAAUUUGAAACCCGACCUUAAAUCCACCAUUGGGCACUAUUCGACACAAAUCUACUUGAAAUCCGACAACAAAUAAAAGGAAAAAAAAUUCUAAAUCAACAUCGAAAUGAAACCUUUAUAAGAGAGAAAGCCGCAAGUACGAAGAGAUCUGAAGUCCUGUUGGUAUAUGUCUUGUAUAGAUUGACAGAGCAAUCAAAGGCCGUGUCGACCAGAGCAAUCGCAGAAUAGAAGAGAUAAGAGAGGAAAAAAGAAGGAAGAGGAGAGCUGCAGCAGCAAAUGAUCAGAGCAAUCAUUACCUGCAAAACUCAACACAACACCAAAUUAACAACCAACAUUUCAAUUUCAAACUUAACCUUAAAUUGAAACAAAUCUACUUGAAAAUAAAAGAAUAAGCAACUCCGAAUCAAAAUCGAAAUGAAACCUUUUAUAACAGAGACAGCCGCGAGUAUGAAGAGACAGGCACAAUCUGCAGCGAUCGAAGAGAAAUCACCACUACCUGCAAAACUCAACACAACGCCUGAUUAACAACAAACAUGCCAAUUUCAAACCCACCUUAAAUCCACCAACAGACACUAUAACUUGAAAUGCAAUAUCAAAUAAAAGGAACAAGUAGUCUAAAUCAAAAUCAAAACGAAACCUUAUAAAAGAGACAGCCGCAAGUCUGAAGAGACCAGCACGAUCCUAAAGGAUCAAAGCCGCAAGUAUGAACAGACCUGAUUAACAACAAACACCUGAUUACCUGCAAAACUCAACACAACACCUGAUUAUCAACAAACAUUUCAAUUUCAAACCCAAAACAAAUCUACUUGAAAAAAAAAAAAAAACAACUCCAAAUCAAAAUCGAAAUGAAACCUUAUUAGAAAGACAGCCGCAAGUAUGACGAGACAAGCACGAUCGUAAAGGAUGGGAGCCGCAAGUAUGAAGAGACAGGCCCAAUCCACAACGAUCCAAGAGCAAUCAUUACCUGCAAACUCAACACAACACCUAAUUAACUUCAAACCCCACCAUAAAUCCACCAACAGUCACUAUUUGAAACAAAUCUACCUCAAAUGCGACAUCAAAUAAAAGGAAUAAAAAGGUUUCCUUAAAAAAGAGUCCACAACGAUCGAAGGCUGUGUUGUAUGUGUCUUGUAUAGAUUGAACAGAGCAAUCAUUACCUGCAAAACUGAACCAAACACUCAAUUAACAAACAAAUUUCAAUUUGAAACCCGACCUUAAAUCCACCAUCGGGAACUAUUCGACACAAAUCUACUUGAAAUCCGACAACAAAUAAAAGGAAAAACAAGUCUAAAUCAACAUCGAAAUGAAACCUUUGUAAGAGAGAAAGCCGCAAGUAUGAAGAGAUCUGAAGUCCUGUUGGUAUAUGUCUUGUAUAGAUUGACAGAGCAAUCAAAGGCCGUGUCGACCAGAGCAAUCGAAGAGUAGAAGAGAUAAGAGAGGAAAAAAGAAGAAGAGGAGAGCUUCAGCAGCAAAUGAUCAGAGCAAUCAUUACCUGCAAAACUCAACACAACACCAAAUUAACAACCAACAUUUCAAUUUCAAACCCAACCUUAAAUUGAAACAAAUCUACUUGAAAAAUAAAGGAAAAAGCAACUCCAAAUCAAAAUCGAAAUGAAACCUUUUAAAACAGAGACAGCCGCGAGUAUGAAGAGACAGGCACAAUCCGCAGCGAUCGAAGAGAAAUCAUCACUACCUGCAAAACUCAACACAACGCCUGAUUAACAACAAACAUGCCAAUUUCAAACCCAACCUUAAAUCCACCAACAGACAGACACUAUAACUUGAAAUGCAAUAUCAAAUAAAAGGAAAAACAAGUCUAAGUCAACAUCGAAAUGAAACCUUUAUAAGAUAGAAAGCCGCAAGUACGAAGAGAGAAGCGCGAUCCUAAAAGAUCUGAAGUCGUGUUGUAUAUAUGUCUUGUAUAGAUUGACAGAGCAAUCAAAGCCCGUGUCGACCAGAGCGAUCGAAGAGGAGAAGAGAGAAGAGAGAAAAAGAGAAGAGGAGGAGAACUGCAGCAGCAAAUGAGCAAAGGGAGCUCAAUUUAUAAACGACUAAACGAGGGAUUCCGUUUGCUCAUUUGCUGCUGCAGCUCUGGACCGUUGAGGGGGGACACGUGGAGGGAUCGUGGGGAGUGGUGGAAGUAACUGUGGUUGAGUUAAGGUUGACUAGAGUUAUGUGAGGGAUCCAAGGCUGGGUGUUUUCCUUUUGGAUAUGCGUUUUGUCAGUGGGAACGGCAUCGUUUGUUUGGGUUUAAAAUUGAGCACAUUUAUUAUACGUAGCGGAAUCGUACAAAAAUUGCUGCUGCAGUAUAAAUCUGAAGGAAAAAAAAAAAAAUGGUUGGUAUGUGGAAAUUAUACUUGAAACGUUGUCGUUUUUGGCAUAAUUGCUGUGAUAUAUUUAUUUGUUUGUGUUUUUAUUUCUUUUUUCUGGGUUUUAGGGUCACAAUCGGAGAGCGAAGACAAGGUCUCGUUGGAACUCUCUGAAGAAGUUCUUCAGAGCAUGGAAGUGGGCAUUUCUUUUAGAGAUUAUGUAAGAGAAUCUUCUAUUAAGUUUCUGUUUGAGGAACAUACUUGAUUUGCAUUUUAAAUGUAUCUGUUUGUUAAUUCAUUGUCGUUUUGUGUUGAUUCGUGUUUUAACAGAAUGGGAGAAUUAGUUCCUUGGAUUUUCAUAAAUCAUCGAGUUAUUUGAUGAUGGCUAGUGAUGAUGAAUCUAUACGGCUGUACGAUGUCUCUGCUGCCACGUAAGUUGAUCCUCUGUUUCUUAGGAUUUUAUGUUGUCUAUUGGGAAGUGCUUUUAACUAAGAAAUGGCUUUUGAAUAAGUAUAAAAAGCUGGUUUCAAUCUUGCAAUGUUUGUUUGAAAUUGCUGGAAUAAUAAAGUGUCUUUUGAAAUCAAAGGAACCCUUGAAGUGUUUUUCUAGGGAAGUGCUUGAUAUCUGCUUUCAUGGAUAGAACUUUUUGGAUUAGGAAACCACUUGUAGUGCUGUUUGAAGUAGUGCUUCAUAUAUGUUUGAAAGUGAUUUUACUCGAGGGUACUUUCCAUUAAAGCACUGCUGAACGUAUCCUCUGCGUGUUUGAUGAGCUCAUGAAAGCUACUGUCUUUCUAAGAUGGGGAAAAAUGCUUUUUUGAUGAAACAGAAAAAAAAAAAAAAAAAAAAAAAGGAGAACCUUGGAGUGGUUUUCGGGGCAGUGCUUAAGGGAAAUGUAAUUGAUAUAUUUUUCAAGAACUUUUGUAAAAAGGCCUUUUCUUUUUCUUUUUUGUUUUGUUUGCAUAAGCUCUUUCUAUAAGAGCACUGCCAAAUGCACUCCAGUUGUCUUAGCUGAGCUCAUGAUAGUUGGUAUUGCAAUUGUUGCUGAGAGCCUUAAUUGAAAUUUCAGAUGUUUGAAGACAAUUAACAGCAAAAAAUAUGGAAUAUUUGUGUUUUGUAUGUUGGUGAAUUACUUUACUAGGCACUUAUUUGGUACGUUCAUUUAUUCAGAAUCUCUACGGCUUCUUUCCUCGCACUAUAACAAGUACUUGCGUUACUUCAACGGUCAUCAUAACAGGUUUGUAAUUCACUUAUUCUUGUAAAUAUUUCGUAAUUAUUAUUAUCUGUAUAUAUGUUUUACUGCUUCUAGGGUUGUUUCACUUAGUCUGUGCUCCUCCAAAGAUUGCUUUAUCUCUGGUUCUCUUGGUCAAUCUGUUCUGCUCUGGGAUCAACGGGCUGAGAAAUGCUAGGUGGAUAUCAUGCCAUCCACCAUUUUCAAUUGUAUAUAUGAUCUCUGUUGGCAAAUACGGGCCUUUUGCAUGUUCAAGGAAGGCCUGCUACAGCAUAUGAUGAUCAAGGGCUUGUCUUUGCAGUUGCCUUUGGAGGAUACAUAAGAAUGUUUGAUGCUCGUAAGUAGGAGAAGGUUAAAAUUAAUAUUUAAGAACAUCUUGGAAGUUUAUAUGUCGUACUUUUAUCAUGCACUAAUUUGGUUAAAUUUGGAUACAUCUUCUCUGAUGGUGUAGAUGUAUCAGAUUCUGAUGCUGUAAAGUUCAGCAAUGAUAGGAGACUUAUGCUUCCGACCUCUAUGGAAGGACAUAUUCAUGUGCUUGACUCAUUCCAAGGCACACUUGUGAGUUGACUUUUUCUUUCUUCAUCUCCCAAAUGUAACAUAUCGUACAUAUAUACCCCUCUAUACACUGGAAUCUCUGUUAAUGAGCUUUUGUUUACUCUUGUUUUUAUUUAUCCACUUAUGAUGCCAAGCCAGUUUCUCGCAAUUCCACAUUGGAGGCAUCUUUCAGCCCGGUAGAGUUUCUCCUUUGAGUUCUUAGGGCACAGUGACUUGGAUAUUUUGUUAAUAUUUGCUUUUGGCUGUUUUGAUAUUUUAUAUUAAAGUUCUUGCACUUGUGCUGUAUAUAAUUCUCAAAUUUGUUACCACCUUGUUGGUAUAUUGAAAUACACGACUUGAAAUGUUGGGCAUCAAGCUUGUUUCCGCAGAAUUCUUUGAAAUAAAUUCAUUUUCUCUUCUUCAUUGACUUGGUUUGAAACCCACUCCCAUCCAUGCAAAUCCAAAUGCAUACGUAUUUUCAUCUGGUUGUGCUUAUUAAUAAAAAUAAAUCAAUGAAAUGCUCAAAUAGCAAGUGCACCCACACAUGUGGAAGCAGCCUGGUGCGGCCAAGCACCUCUCAUUCGUUUUAUGUGAUACAAUUGGUUUGUUGCACUCUUUGUGCUAAUUUUACUUUCUCGAUUUUGGAAGGUUCUGAUGAUGGUAGUGGAUAUGCUUGGAGUGUAGGGAGCGGGAAAGGGGUAUGAUAAGCAAAAUUCCUUGAUUCUCAUGCCUUUUGAAUGCUUAGAAUUCAAAGGGAUGUUAUUUCCCUUACACUGACCCCAGUCAUAGCAUUCAUUGUCUUCUAGCCAAACCAACAAUGCUUUUGAAUCUACAUUUGAGCAUUUACCUUAAGCACCAGUUUGCAUAAUGAGUUCUGUAUCCAAAGACUAUAUUCUUUGGAUGUUGGUAUUGUUAUUAUAUAAACAUUGUUUGGUUUUGUUUAUUUUUCUUGUCAGGGUUGUUAGUUGGAUGAGUUUUCAUACAGAGCCUCCUGUCAUAAAAUGGGCCCCUGGAAGUCUCAUGUUUGUUACGGGGUAAUCUGAGCUAUCAUUUUGGAAUCCUAAUGUGUCUAAACUAGGAGCUUACGAUGGGAGGAAGUAAAGUUUCUAACACUCAGCACCCUUAAGUAUCUGAAUAUUGAUGUCUAUCUAUUGCUGGGAGGGGAACUUGUUUGUAAGGAGAUGUUCAAUUUCCUAUAGUAGUAUGUAAAUGCAUCUGACUUACCUGCUAGUAACCUUUCCUAACAAGUUCUGAAGAAACAACAGUAGAUCUGGUAUCAGUACUUUAUUCAGAAGAGCAUUUCUUCUUACAUGCACAGCUAAGAGUACAUGAAUUGAGCUACUGAAGCCCUUCCUGACCAACCUGGCUAAGGCUCCUUUCAGUUUGUCCUCUUCAUGGUUCUUUGGCAGGCAACAGCGUAAGCAAUUACCUGGACUAUGAGGCCUUUUGUAGCGGGGUGGGCACUGCCUAGGCAGUUUUUGAAAAAACUAGGAGCUUUAUUUGUCAUUGACAUUUGUAGCACGAUUAGUUAUUACCUGGAUUAAGUUGUAUAUAUUACAUCGUAUACCUAAUCUGACAAAUAACAGGUUGCAAUCCAAGUUUUGUUGAUCAUGAAGGGUUUGAGCAUGAUAGUCCAUUUAGGUCAUUAGGUCUCCCUCGAAUUGCCACGUACACACUUCAAUCCUCUCAACGAGCGUCCCCGCAACGUCACACUCCACAAUAAUCUGAAAUAAUUUAAAACAAUUAUAUACUUCUGGCUGCUCUUAUCUCCCUUCUCACCAACCGAGUCACUGGUUGGUUACAUUUUACUAACACCGCCGAAUGAGAGAUCAUAAUCCCUAUUACGUGUCCACCCUAACUGAUCACAACAUUGUCAUUUUUUAUCUAGCGUUAGCAACGCGUUGUUCAGUUGUCAUAGCUUCGAAACCGCGUUAUUUGUUUAUACACUACAUUUUUGGACUCAAGGCACAAAAGGGAUAAUAAACAAUUGUUAUAAACAAUUGUUAUAUAGUCUGCAAGGUCCAUUCCAAUUGUGUUUGUGUAUAUAUAUUUUAGCUUUCUCUCCUACACCCAGGCUUUAUGCCUCUCGUGCCUCAGUUUGAUGUGAAGAAAUGGUCCAUCAAGGCCAUUGGUUAUAUAGUCAGCAAUAGCAAUAUUGCCUUUCUUCAACCACAGCAAUGUUUAUUGGGUACGCAGGAUCAAUUAUCUUCUUAGUAAUUAACAUAAUAAUAUAUUAUGUUUGUAAAUGUGUAAAUAAAUUUUAUUCAAUAUUUAUAGUUUUACAACAAUUUAAUAUUAAAAUUUACCAAACAUAUACAAUUGUUUUUAUAACUCACAGCUCCUUUAAAAAUAAGUUUUUGCAAACGUUUAAUUAAUUUUUUUAAAUUGAUUAUUUUUAUAGCACAGCUAACAUCAAUUAUUUUAAAAGCUACAGUAUUACCAAAUUGACUCCUUACUCUUUUUAUUAAAAUUAUUAUUUAAAAGUUCUAAUUGCAAUAUGUUACCAACUUUUAUUUCACAUCUAUAAUUUUUUUUUCACAACAGCUAUAACUUAAACGUCGCAUCAUCUUAAUACCAAAUAGGGCUAUAGUUAUUUGGGACCUUUUUUUUUUCCCCCCCUUUUCCCUCUUCUUUAGCAACCUACAAAAAACACUAGAAAUAAAACAGAAAAAUUGAGUAUGAAAUUAAGCAUUAGUUAAGUAUGAAGUUGGGUGAGUCGAGUAUAAAAUUAAGUACUUUUCUAUAUGAUUUUAAAUAAAGGGUUUUUUAAUAUUUUGCUUUGUGAUUUUGGAUAUAUUUCUACAAUACCAGUAAACUAUGUAAUAAGCAUAUAUUUGUUGUUUUGUUGUGAAUGGGACAUAUCUAGCGCCAUUUGCUCUAGGGAUGGCAAUGGGGCAGAUAUGGGUUGGAUCUACUUUGCUCCAAAUUCAAAUCCAUAAUAAAAAUCAAGAUCCGUAUCUACUCCAGAUCUGUCAUGAAUCCAUAUUUUUUGCUCCAUAUCCAGAUCCAAAAAAGAAAUAAAUAUCUAUAUCUACUCCAAAUCUUAAAAAAAAUUAAAAUCCAAAUCUGUUCUACAUCUGUCAUGAAUUCUAAAACUCAGUAAUAAAAAAUUAAUAAUUUUUUAGAAUGAAAAUUGAAGGCUUAAAUGUAUUGAUAAAAAAUAAAUUAUAUAAUUUUUCUCAAAAAUAUAAUAAAUAUUGUAGCUUAUACUUUUAUCUCAAAACAAUAAAUAAGAAAGAUAAUAAAAUAUCAUUCAAAAGUAAUUGUAGAAGUAAGAUCAAUCUAAUAUUCUAUUGUCUCCUUCAUCAUUCUAAUAUCCACGACACACCUACCAUCAUUUCUACAACAUUAAAUAAUGACAUAUAAAUUAAAUAUGAUUUAUAUUCAGUCCUUUAUUAUUUUUAUUAUGAUCAUAUUUGACUAAAUAUAUGAAUAACUAUAUUUUUUAAAAAUUAUUUGGCUUGCAAUUUGAAUAUUUAGGCUUGGCUGACCUUUAUAUUUACAAAACUAACCUUUAAGUUUUAAGAGUUUAAAUGCAUGGUAAAUACCACUAAUAUGUUAUGAAUAAAAUUUAUUAUUAUUAUAAUUCCAUAAUUGUUAAGAAACUUUUAAAAUAAAAUAAAAUUAAAAGAUGAGUGAAUAUGAAUGUGGAUUUAGAUAUUAAGAUAGAUCCAGACCUGCUCCAGAUCCGUCUUAGAUCCGCACAUCGAUAUUCAAAUUCGAUCCAAAUUCAUUUUAAACUGACCCAAAUCCGAUCCGAUUGGAUUUGGAUCACGUGGAUCUUGGGUCAAAUCCAAUCCAUUGCCAUCCCCAAUUUGCUCCCGUGACUGAUCUUUAUAACAGAUCCAAUUACCCUCAUUAUAGUCUUGAUCGAAAGCUAACAUAGCACAAUUCUGAUAUGUAAUGUGAGUGAUGGGAGAGUCACAAAUUAUUGUAUAAAUUUAUUUUAUCUAAAUUAAUUAGUAUAAAUUGAUAGAAAUAUAAAAUAAUAAAAAUAUAAAUCACGUAGACCAAGGUGUAUUUAAUAUAACUAAUAAAAUUUUACUCGAUCAGUUUAUAUAAGAAUUUGUAAUUUUAUUAUUACUCAUGGUACUUGAACAGUGGCUGAUUGGUCAGCUAGUGGUAUAAGUGGCAACGACCAAACUGUUGAGUCUCCACGUGGGUUUCAAAAUGAGUCAAGAGUCAAGAAAUUAGCUAUCAAGUUAUGAAAAAUAUUUGUAAACAUGUCUUUGAGAUGAUACAUUGUCAUAAUCAACAUCAUAUCCUAAUUGACAAAGAAGGGUUGCAAGGGAAACUAAGCAUGUGCCUUCAUUUUCACUUGAAAUAAAGCGCGAGGGAAAGAUCUCAUGUUAUCACAUGAUGCCGUGUGAUCACCUAGAAGCCCUUCCACACAUAUUUCUUCUUAAAUUGUCUUCUUCUAAUUUCUUGGGCCACCGCGAAACCACAAUGUCAAUACAAGGAUGAGCGAGUGUUGUUCAGCUCGCAGCAUUUGGAGCCGGAGCUCAGCUUCCCUUAUUUGAUGGUCGUUUGGUAGGCGUCGCCAAAGGGCAAAGAGGAUCCUCUGGCGUUCGUGGAGUUGGUCCUCAAUGCGAUUGAUUUGUUCUCCAAGUUGAGCAAGUCUUUGUACCAUAGCCAUAAAAUUAUUUACUUUGGACCGAUGCAAUUCUCUUCUAAAAUUUUCAGGGAACACUUUUCAUCUGCACCCAAAUGUUUCAUCAUAAUUUUAUUGUAUACACACUUGCUUCAACAGCUAUCACGGCUCACUCUUUUUGUUAAAUAUUGUUGUUGCCAUUAAUUUUGACAUCUUUGACGUUAAAAGACAACUUUACCCUUAUUUAUAUUUUUUAAUGCAAAAUUGCCAAAAAAACCACAACACCAAUUUCUAAUUCCAAUUGACUUGUGGGGAUAUUAAAAUUUAAUUUUGGCAUCUUUGACAUUAAAGAGAUAAUUUUACCCUUAUUUAUAUUUUUUAAUGCAAAAUUACCAAAAAAACCACAACACGAGUUUCCAAUUCUAAUUCACUUGUGUGGAUAUUAAAAUUUAUUAAAGGUUAGAAAAAAAGUAAAAAUGUUUUGUUCAAAAUAUCCCCUUUGCCAUCAUCCAUAAACGUCCAUUCUUCAUAACAAUCUAGUAAACUUGGAAAAAGCAAGAUCCCAGUCAAUCAACCAGCCAAAAUUCUUCAUAAAGUUUAGCUUUUCUUAAAAAAUUUUAAAUCUUGAGUUAAAAAUUUUAAUUCUUGAGACCCUAAAUUAAUUGAUAAUGAAAGUCACAUGUUUCUAUAACAAAAAUCUUCAAGAAUAACAGUACAAUGAAAAUCUUCAAGUAAAUAAAAAUCUAUAUUCAUAAUAUUUAUGAAUAAAUUGUAAAUAAUAUAGAGUGGUUUAUAAUUUUAUAGUGUAUUCACUAAACAAGAAUCGAAAUUAUUUGGAAACAUAACGAGUUAGAAUCAGAAUAUAUAGAAUCAAAAUAAGAAAUUGGAAUCAGAAUAAUUUAUUUACUUGAACUGCAGGAAUCGUAAUUAGAAUGAGUCAUUUACAUGUUUACUUUGUCUUAAAAUCAAAAUUGGAAUGAGUUAAAUUGUAACAAAUUACUAUAAAAUCCAUAAUUAAUUUUUAUCAUAAUAAUUAAUUUUUAUUUUAAUUAUUGUGAUUAUUAUUAUUAUUAAUAAAUUAAUUAUUAACAAUAAUUAUUGUUAAUUAUUAUUAUUAUUAAAAAGUUAACUAAGAAUUUAUUAUUAAUUAUUGUUAAUAGAUUAAUUAAUUAUAAUACUUUUUAUUCUUGUUAUUAAUAAUAAUAAUAAUAAUAAUCCAUUUACAAUUUAUAAUUAUAUUUAUAAUUAAGUGGAAAUUAAAGUGGUAGGGUCUCAACCAAAAUGUGGCACGAACACAUUUAUCCAACAGCAAGAUUUUUCGAUUGCCAUCCCCACUAAUUUGGUGUAAUGACUAAGAGUUAAUUGAAAAAUAUAUAGUUUAAUUUUACAUUUAAUUUUUUUUCUUUGUUGUAUUAAGAAUUAAUUGAAAAAUUAUUAUAUUCCCUUAAUUUUACCAGAAUCCCGUUGACUUAGACCCUAGUCUCUUGAUUAAAGCGUUUUCAAGUUCAAAGAUUCAGAUAACUCACUCGAUUAUAGGGCGUCUGCACCUUACGCUCGCGUUUGUUGUGAUGCCAGUAGCUGCUGUGACUGUGGCUGUCGUUGUCGAUUGUACUUGAAUUUUGCAGGAGAGCUUAAUAUCUUGUUUAGUAAUUAAGUGUUGUAUCAUUUAUUGUUAAAAAAUUAUAUUAUAAAAUAAAAAUUAAUAAUAAGUAAUAAAUAUGAUUUUUAAAAAUUAAUUUUCAUUAUAUAUUGUCAUUAAAUAAAUAUAAAAUUAAUUUAAUUUAACUGUAAAAUUAUAAUAAUUAAUAUUUAUUGAAUACUUUAGUAUUAUAACUUUUAAAAUUAUAAUGGACUAACUUCAAUCCCAAAAGAACCUGAAAUGAUUGUGGAGAUCGGGAUUUUCAAUUUCCUUUCUUUUUGGAACUAGUUUGGGAUUGUCCAAACACGCUAUGGUAUGCGUUUGACAUGGAGAAGGGGGGACAAAUCAAUUUUGUUUACUGCAAAACCCUAAAAAUAAUUAGUCAACUUGCGUAUACCCCUUUUGGACCCAUUUUGUCAGGAAAAAGAAAUUGUGGACCAUUUGCACUCUAAAUUUAACUUUAGAUACUGGUAUUUUAAUAAAUUUUUAUAUUAUUAAAUUAACCUUAAUAUAAGGAUCCAGCUACGGUACACAUGUUGUAUGGUAUCCCGCAUUUUGUUCAUAUAUGACUUUGCCUUUAAAUGUAACAUAAAACUUGCAUCAAUUGCAUAGAUGUAUUCUCUUUGGUUAUUAAUAUUGACACUCCUAUUGUUUUUCAAAAAAAUAAAAUGGUGAAAGGUUUGACACAUAAUUUUAGAUUAUUUUUAAAUUUUUUAUUUUUAUCAAUUGAUCUACUUUAUUAUUAAAAUUAAUGACAGUAUAAGAGCAAUAACUUGAAAAAACUAAAACAAAAGGAAUUACAUGGUCACCGUCUGGAACUGGAAAUGUUUUGAGUUUACUUAUCCUUUUGGUUCGCACCGCCCACGAAGCUUCAUAUUCCUACGAUAUGUCUUUUUUUUUUAAAAAUAAUAAUUUAUAAUCUGACAGCUGGAACAAAGUUUCGACUUUCGAGUGGGCAAAACGCAAAAACUACCACGACUACUUGAACAACUUCGUUACAUUUAGACAUUUAUCAUUUAAUCAGAGUUUGAUGAGCAGCGUUGAAGGAAAGUUUAUAGAAAUAACCCUUACUUUUUUUCUAUUUUCGAAUAGCAAAUAAAAUUUCCCUUUUUCAGUUAAACAGUUUCAAGUCUAGUAUUUACUGUUUGAAGGAGAAAAUUAUGGUGUAACGGUGGUACCGUGCUACUGUUGUACUCACCCGUUGGAUCUCAAUGAAUCCACUCAUUCAAGUGGAUUCAACGGCUGAAUGCAACAGUGGCACGAUACCACUGUUGCACCGUAGCCGGACCUCUAUUUCAAUUACACAAACAACAUGUAACUGUUUUAUAUAUACCUUUUUCUAGCGGGUUCAAAAAGUUUCAACCUUAUGGAAUGGCACAAUCUUUGUAUAUUAUUAUUUUAAUUAAUAACAAGAUUACUGAUCCUGUGUGCCCGGUAAACACUACUGUGAUUGAGGAAAAAGCGGUAUUGCUAUUGCUGUUUCUUACCAAAGGCCUUGAUAAAUAAACCAUUUCUUCACAUCAAACUAAGGCACAAGAGGUAUAAAGCCUAGGUGUAGGAGAGAAAGCUACAACAUAUAUGACACAAAAUCAAUUUGGAUGGACCUUGCUAAUCACGUCUGUGAAUGAAGAAGAUUCACCUCGAUGCCAUAGGAGAGCAAAUUAUUAGGGGGCAGGAUGGACAUGUCACAUGGUUAAGGGGGUCUCUAAAUCCCGAAGGGUACAAAAACCUAUGCUUUGAAGCUCACCUCACUAUCUAAAAUCAAAUAUGACUUGAAUGCGAAAUUACGUGUGCGGUAAGUUCUUAUUUGGGAAACUGUGUUGUGCGUCCCACAAACUCCAAAUGGGAGCUUGCCGCAUGUUCAAUCGUGCUUAUAGAGUGUGUCCGCAUGCAUCUAAUUGAGAUCUUAUUUACAGUAUAAUACACUUCUAAAAAUUUAGAUAGCAAUAUAAAACUUUACAACUAUAAUAUUCAUUGAUAAUAAAUUUAUUUAUUAUGAUUGUUCUCGUUGAAAACUCCUCAAUGGAAUUUUAUGAGUCGAAAAUAACGUAUGAUAGUUUAACUACCAAUAUAAGAAAAAAUAUAUUUUUCAAUAUACAAAACUAGGUUAUUGCUUAAUUUGCUUUUAAAAUCUUUUAAUAAUAACAAAAAUAUUCAUAUAUUGCAACACAUAGAGCAAACAUGAAUGCAUUAUAAAAUUAUAGAUUUUAAAACUAGACAAAAGAUUAAUCAAAAAAUGAAAAAUUAGAAUUAUGUAGACUUACAACUUAUGGGUCAUUGUUGAAAGACUAAACAAUUGAUUUUGCUCGAAUAGAAAACAAAAAAAAUAUUAAAGACUAGUCCAUUAACCAUUAUACUAACAUUUUUUAUGAUUGUUUUUUAUUUUAAUAUUUGUUCUCGUGUCUUUAAUUGAAUUUCAUGAAAUGUUAAUUGCUAAUUAAAUUAUUUAGAAUUAGACAUUUAAACGAGGGAUAAUAUGAAAUAUUUUAAAAUUACUAGAGUCACUUUUAAAUUUUACAAUGCAGCUGGGGCAUUUUUCAUAAAUAACAAACAAAAUACAUUUUUUUCAUAUAAUCAUCAAAAAAAAUUUAAAAGCCAGCCAGGGCAUGUGCCUCAGCUGGUCCCAUGCUGAUUCCGCCCCUGUACGUAAGACACACGCAUAUUAUUUUACAAGGUACCACCAAUUUUUGUCUUUUGUGAUGUCAAAUUUCAUUUAACUCCUUAUCUUUUUUGAUUUACGGUUUAUUUAUAACAUUAUAUCCUUUGACAGGUAACUUUUUAAAAUGAAUUUUAUUUAUAAUUUAUUUAUAAGUUUAUAUACUUUGGCUGGUGAUCUGCUCAAAUGUAAUUUUAUUUUAUUUAAUAUUAUUUAUCUUUCUAAAAGAAUAAAUAUACAAUAAGCCUGUGACUAGAUAAUAUUAAAUAAUAUUUUGAAUAAAAUAAAAAUAUUAAAAAUUUAUUCUUUUAAAUAAAAUAAAUAAUAUUAAAAAAUAAUAUUUAUUUUUUAGGACUCACAAUUGCUUAUUCUAUUUUAUUUAAUAUUAUUUAAUUUUUAAAAAUAAAUAUAAUAAUAAGCUUGACUAAAUAAUAUUAAAUAAAAUAAUAUAAAUAUUAUUAAAAAUAAUAGUAAUUUUUUUAGACUCAUUACUGAUUAGUUCAUUUUAUUUAACAUUAUUUAGUUUCAUGAAAGAAUAAAUAUAAUAAUAAGCCUUUGACUAUAUAACGUUAAAUAAAAUCAAAUAAAUAAUAUUAAAAAAAUAUUUUUUUUAUAAAAUAAAUAAUAUUAAAUUUUUAUUCUUUUGAAUAAAUAAAUAUAUUUUUUAAGACUCACAACUGAUUAUUUAUUUUAUUUAAUAUUAUUUAGCUUUUUAAAGAAUAAAUAUAAUAAUAAGUCUAUAACUAAAUAACAUUAAAUAAAAAUUAAAUACUAUAAAUAAUAUUAAAUAAAAAUUAAUUAAUAUUAAAAAUUAUAUUUAUUUUUAAUGCUCACUACUGAUUAUUUUAUUUUAUUUAAAUAUUUAGUUUUUUGAAAGAUUAAAUACAACAAUAAGCCUGUAACUAAAUAAUAUUAAAUGAAAUGAGAAUAAAUAAUUUUAAAUAAUAUUUUUUAAUAAAUAAAUGAUAUUAAAAAUUAAUUUUUAAAAUAAAAAAAUUAAUAUUAAAAUAAAUUUAUUUUUUAAGACUCAAUUAUAAUUAAACAACAUAAAAUUUUAAACAAUUUGGACUUAUGUGCUAAAAGUUUUAAUUAUUUAGCUCUUUUGCAUUUUUGAUAAAUAGCAAGGAGCAUAAUGUUAAUAUUUAAAUAAACGAUUCACUACCCUUAAAUCUAUCUUUUCAUUGAAUCCAAUGAUCAAAAAUUAAAACCAAUGACCAAGAAUUGAAACUACAAAAAAAUAAAAUCAUAUGGUAUCUUACAACUGUUGUAAGAUAAUUGAGUCUUUUAAUUACACGUGUUAUUUGGAACUUGUUAAAUUGGUCCCUUGUGGGUCCUCGUGGACUCUAAAUUAGCCGUACACCUUUUAAAUAGAAAUAAGUGCAUUACAAUUUUUUUCUAUUUUACUUUAUUUUUGAAAUUUUUUGGAAAAAGUGAUGACUCAUGAUAAUAGAAGAAGAAGAAUAGUAGGAUACAUGUAAUAUCGGUUUAUACUUUAUAUCACUUUUUACUUCUUUCUUUGAUUUUUUUUAAAUUUUUUAUUAUACUUUUUUGUGUCUUUGGGGUCCAAAUAUAUUGUGUAUAAAUAAAUAACGUGGCUUCUGAGUUUAUGGCAAUUUACCAAGCGUUAAUAAUGCUUGAUGAAAAUGUUGCAAUCAGGUAGGGCGGACACAUAUAGAGAUUAUGAUCUCUUAAUCAGCGGUGUUCGUGAAAUGUAGCCAACUGCUAAUUCGGUCGGAGACGAGGGAUAUCUAGUGCAACCAGAAGUUCAUAAUUGUUUUAAAUCAUUUGAGAUUAUUGCGGAGUGCAACGUGUCGUUUGUUAAGAGAAUUAAAAUGAGUCAAAAGGUUUAAGAAAUAAGCUUUGGCUGCUUGGAAAAACCGCUUUCGAGCCUCCACAAAGUAUUGUAGGGCUUAAAUUCUUUUCAAUUAUGAAUAGUAAUUAAGUGAAGACAGUUUUCUUUUCAAUAAUUACCUAAUUAUAAAUUUAUCAGUAAAAAUUUCAUUUAAUAUGAAUUGUAAUAUAAGAAAAGAAAAAAAAAGUAUUCACUUAUGAUAAUAUUCUUAUUUGUAAACGUGUCCUGAGAAUUGAGAUGAUACAUGAUCGUCAAUGUCAUAUACUAAUUGAAAGAGUAGGUUUGCGAGGGCCUGCCGUGCUAAGCAUGGGUUUUCAUUUCCCUUAACCGCUUGAAAUGAAGCAUGAGGGAAAGAUCUUAUUCCACCUAUGUUUUAUUAUUAAUAAAUAAUUUUUUUUUUAUCUAUUAACCAAUAAUUAUCGGAGCGAGUUUUACUCAAGAGAACUUCAAUAAUAAAAAAUGUUUGAUCUCACUGAAAUGACAAGUUAUUUAAGGUUAUUGAAAAUCUAAACAAAAAUUACUUUUAGGAAAAUGCUAAACGAAGAGAAUGGCGUGAGAACGCAACGUGAUAAUAUUAAAUGUAUAGUAAAUGUCAACUUUUAGCAUUUUCUCUUUCUCACCACGAGUAGCUUUUGCACGACAGAAAAACAAAACAACGUUCAUCACAAAGCUAAUUUUUCUCUCACCCAACGUGAAAAUCACUUUGGCUCAUUUAUUCACCAACGACCACCGAAUAGAUCUAGAGUAGUAGCAAGUGAGGGAGAGGAGUAGUAGAUCUGGAGUACUAGCGAGCGAGAGAGAGGAGGAAGAGGAGGAGGAGUAGCGAGUGAGGGAGAUGAGUAAAUCUCAACAUUAUUUUUUUCUUUCAUACUAGCCUUUUAAGGUUAUAAAAUUCUUUUGUUUUUAUUAACAAGAAUGCUGAAAGCUGCUACUGAAAGAAACGACAUUACUGUAUGUCAUUUCUCUCGGCAUUCUUGGUAAUUAAUUUAUAUUUGUACCACUCUAUUAAUUUACAACUUUGCCAUUCAUAUAAAUAAAUUUAAAAAAAAAAAGUAAAAUCUUAGGUCCAGCCUGAAUGGGCUCACAUUUAGCACUACUCUUACUUUUAUGCUAUCGCAUGAUAUCGUGUAGGGACGGCAAAAUACAGGUUUGGUCUAAGCUUGGAAGGCCAAGCCCAUUUCACGAGAGGCACAACAGGCUAGACUGGUCAAGCCUAAUGUGAGCCCAUUCAGGCUCAAGCUGGACCUAAGAUUUUACUUUUUUUAUUUUUUUAAAUUUAUUUAUAUGAGUGGCAACGUUAUAAAUUAAUAGUGGUACAAAUGUAAAUAAAAUAGUUGAUUUUUUGUAAACUUUGCAUAAUGACAAUUUUGUAAAAUUUGGACAGGCUGUAGCUCAUCUCAGUCCACACAGCCUCACCACUAGGUAUAAACAUGGAGAACAAUUUAUAAAUCCACCAAGCUAAAUUAAAGUCAAACACUUGACAUUAAGAAAUUUCUAAUAAUCUUAGAAAUAAACUAGUCGAUAAUCACUUGAGAUCAUUUCCUCACCCCAUAAUCCAUCAAUUAACUGAGAAAUGACAACUCACCAAUUAGUUUUUCAUCAGAACUCAUAACACAGAACUUACCCAUUCACAUAAUAAAAACAUUGACAUUAAUGAGAGAGUAGCUUAAUCAAAUAAUAAUCCAUUAAUAAAAUGAAAAUUAACAACUUGUACCUUCAUAGAUGAUUCUUGUGCACUUGACUUUCUAAGUAAAGAACGUCACUAUUCUUUUCAAGAAGGCAGCCACCACAAAGCAUAGAAGCUUCUUCAUAUAAUAGUACAACAAUCAAAACCUGAAACAUACGCAUCAGUAUUAAUUUAUUAUAAUUUAGCAGCAGUAAAUAUUUUUUUUCAAAAGUUAUCUGCAGUAAAUAUAAGAAUAACAAAGAAUAAAAUCUUAGAUCAACAACAGAGAACCUAAACUCUACAACUUGCUUGAACUACUAUCAACAUCAUACCACAUAAUCAAAUAGACAAAAUAGUGUAAUAUAUAAUUUGUAUUGACCUCCAUACUAUCACGUAAAAAAUAUUGUAUUAAAAACAAAGGGUAAUUUUUAGGGACCUCCCCUGAGGUUUACCGUAUUGACACAUAGAGAGAAUGUAUCCACGUAAUUACAACCACCUCCCCUCCCGUUAGUAUCCGGUUAGUUUGACUGUUAGUUGACUGUUGAAAUUACUAAAUUACCCUUCCCGCCAAAAUUAUAAGUUAUAAAAUAAGAGAAGAGAACCGAUAAGUAAUAAACUUAACGCUAGAAUCACAAAAGCUAAAAAAAGACCAAAUUACCCAUCUAUGUGAUGUGAUUUCAUUUACAUUAUUUGUUAUUAAAAAAACAGAAAAAAUAAAUUAAAGCUGCCAUUAUUACCGUUGUAAGUAAACGGUAAUAUUUUGAGUAGUAGCAGCAACUAUAAAAGGCCUGGGCAAGUUAGCAAAUGACCAUAGCAGAAUUUCAUCUUCAUCUUCUUCUUACGAUUUUAAGUCAUCAUCCAUUCAACUCUUGAACAGAAGCACUCAUCAUCAUCAUUAAAAGCAUUCAUCAACUCAUCAAAGGAAGCAUUCAAUUCACGACAACAGAAGCAUUCAUCAUCAGCAUCAUCAGAAUCAUUCAUUUAGUUCAUUGACAAAAGCAUUUAUUCAUCAAUUUAAGCAUUCAUCCAACUCACCAACAGAAGCAUUCAACAUAAUCAAGAUCAAACACUAUCUCAACCACAUGGAUUCUGAAAGCUCAAACACAUCCAGCCGAUCAAAUACACAACCAAUUUAUGAGCCAACUUGGAGGAACUUUGUUAAUGGGAGGCUGAUUAAGUUUUCAAAUCGAAUAUGUAGAUGUCGUAUGAGAGCCAAGGUGAUGAUAUCUGAAUCGGAUGAGAAUCCUCACAAGCUUUAUUAUAGAUGCCCGAACAUAACAACAUGCGGAUACUUCAAAUGGUGGGUUCCAGCAAGGGAUGAUUUCAACAAUGGAGCUGUGUUUGAGGGGAAUUUAAGUGCUAUUGUGCAUCAUGAUACCCUAAAUGCUAUUCAAUCAAAUCUGAAAGAAGUGAAGACUAUUAUGAAGAAGCUGCAAAGGUCAGGAUUUGGUGAAGGUGUUGUGAAGAUGAUUAUGUACUUGAACCUAGUUAUGUUUGUGCUGAAUUUAAUUAUGCUUAAGAACUAAUAUGCCUAAGCUAUCCUAUGUUUGCAGAAUGCAGUGAAGUGUAAAAUAUAGUGAUUUUUCUGUGUAAUGUAUUAAUGGAUAAAAAAGAUAAUGCAUGUGACAAUAAUCUAUUAUACAAACUGAUAAUAUUUAGCAUAGUAAGCGAAUAACACAGCACAAGCUCCUGUCCAUAAUUCAGCAAGCACACACAAUAACAAUAAUUUAUAAUUACAAGCUCUUGUCCAUAAUUCAACAAGCACACACAAUAACACAGCACAAGCUCCUGUCCAUAAUUCAGCAAGCACACACAAUAACAAUAAUUCAUAAUUACAAGCUCCUGUCCAUAAUUCAACAAGCACACACAAUAACAAUAAUUCAUAAUUACAAGCUUCUGUCCAUAAUUCAGCAAGCACGCACAAUAACACAACACAAGCUCCUGUCCAUAAUUCAAUCCUUAAAUAGAAUUACAACUAGUAAAUCCCUGAGCAAAAGUAUAAUAACAAUUUCAAGCACAUAACAAGCUUUUGUUAAAACUAACACUAUGAAGCACACACAACAACUCCUAUCACACAGGACAGCCGGUAAAUCCCUGAGCAAAAGUAGAGAUACAAUACAAAUUCAUUCUCAAACUGACAGUAUCAAGCACAAUAAACACAUACAGCAAGUCUCACUUUGUAAUAUCAAGCACAAACAAAGCAAAUUCUAUUGUUUCAAGUGACAGUCGCAAGCACAACAAACACACAAAGUAAGAAACCACGGCAGUAACUAAGUAAUGAAACUACAUAAACUAAAAUCAAUAAAGAACUAUGUAAUAAAACUACAUAAACAUUACUUGUGACUAUAAAUUAUAAAUUCAAAUGCAUUCCAGCAACAAUAAAGUGUCACAUGUCAUUACUGUCGCUACAUUAAUUUUUUCACCAGCUACCACAGCCUCUAUCUCCAUGUAAACAUGACUGCAAGUUAUAAAUAAUAGCACAUGGUAAGCAAAUAACAGCAAAAUCGUAACUAGAAUUGUAUAUUUAUAUAAUAAGAAACAAAUGUAUAUUUAUAUAAAAUUAAUAUAUCAUAAGGGAUGUUAGCAGAUGAACUUUAGUUGACCCCAACCAAAUUAUUAAACUGCAGUUAUCAUUAAUGCAUGCUUGGGCAUUUACAUGCCUUUCGAAAGUUUGUUGCAGAUGGUGAUUAUUCGAUCAUGAGUUGAAACACUUAUAAAUCCAUAACUAAGUUCAUCUACUUGCCAGAAAUCAUUUUGAUUGAUUAGUAACUUAUAACAAGCUUAAUUAACACUAACAGGGGAUGUGGAUGCUCUUUAAUCUAUAUAUAAAUGGGCAACUCAAAGUUAAAAUUUCAUAAAAAAAUCCUCUCAAAUUUGUCGGCUGAAUUAAUUUCAACAAAGUGGUCACUCGUAAAAUUAGAGACGGCCUUAAAUUUACAGUGACAUGUGCAUGCAAAGAUCUUUUAAUCUUUCUUUGAGCUGGGCUUUUAAUCCAUUGAUUGAACAUGGAAUCAUCGUCAUGCUUUGCAGACAACUUUACAAUUUCUUUUUCUUUAUUAUUUUUUUGAGUCUCAGGGUUGGUGGAAAUUGAAACGAAAAACCCAUUUUCAUUUUUAUUAACGCAAAAUCGUCCCACUCAUCUAUUGCAUCUGUUGCAUCUGAUUUAUAUCUUUAAAUUGUAAUAAAUGAGGAUUACCUCUUUUUCGCACCAAUUCCAGUUGCGAUUGAAGGCGUUCGUCGCCGGUACUUAGUUCGUUGCGCACUUGCGCCACCACCAGAGCUCAUCUCGUUACCUCUUUUUUGCACCAAAUCCUUAAUGAAGCUCUCCUUCACAGCUACAUAAAGAUGAAGAUGUUGUUCGGUGUUGUUUACGUGAAAGAGGAGGCUAAGUGUAACAUUCAUUUCGUGAAAAUUUUUAUUUGCUUUUGUCCACUGGUUAUUGCAGAGCACUGGUUAAUGGAGUAAACUCUUACAAUUUUCUCAGGCGUUCAUCCUCACAAAGCUGCACUUUUGAAUUCUUUUGAAUUUUAAAAGGCAAUUUUACAUAUUUACCCUCACAUACUGAUGCCAUACGUAACCGGAUACUAACGGGAGGGGAGGUGGUUGUAAUUAUGUGGAUAUAUUCUCUCUAUAUGUCAAUACGGUAAACCUUAGGGGAGGUCCCUAAAAAUUACCCUAAAAACAAAUUAUAAAUUGUUUAGUGAUCACAAUGGAUCCUGGAAAUGACAACAACUACAUUAUUAUAAUGAGUUUGACAUGUCAUUGUACAUGGAUUCGUUAUGAUGAAUCAUGAAACACCGUUGAGUAGUUAAUUCAGCCACUUUUCACCUAUAAAUUCGAUGGCAUACUUUGAAUACACAACAUGGUUAUAAAUAAAAAUUUAGAGAAUUUUUGUGGGAAAGAAUAAUUUUAUUGACAAAAGAUUAAGUACAAAAUUAUAACAUCUCCAUUUUUAAUAUAGCUGACAUAAGUUAUUUGAGUUAAAAAAAAAAAAAAGAGGGAACUUAGAUACGCCAUAUUAAAUAGGGCAGUAAUAAAAAAAAAUCUAAUUAACAAAAAUUAUUUGAGCAAAUGACAAAUAUUCGCUAAGAAACUCUUUUUCAUUUUUUUCCCAAAUAAUAAUCAAUGUUUUUUUCCACUACGCAUUGAAAGAGCUCGCAUCGACAUCAAUCAUGAACCAGUCGUGGCCUAUAUUGCCUGCAUUAUGAAUACCACCUAUGACCUUUAGAGCCUAACCGUUUAUCUCAGUCUAUUUUUAAUACUCAGUCACAGGUCCAGACCAUUCAAGUUCAGGACAUGACCCUACUAGUCCCAUUAUAUAUCUAUUUAAAUUUCUUUUUUUUAGAAUGUCUAUUUAGAUUUCUUAAAUUUAAAAAGCAAAUCAACAUCUAGCCCUUAAAAAAAAAAAUCUAAAAUCAACAAAGCUAUUAUUUUGAAGAUAUUUUGAAUUCCAAUUCCCAAUUAAAAUCAUGAAUAUAUCAGCUAUAUCAUAGCAUCAGCAUAACUAGUAAGUGGUGACAUCAAAUUUUCAAAUAUUUGGAACUGGAAGCAAAUAUCUAGUUAAUGAUUAAAGUAGCUGACGAAUAAAACCUCUUGUAUUAUCAUAGAGGCUGCCCCAAUAGCUUGCAAUAACUAUGGAUGGUGCAGUAAAGUUUCAGGAUAGAUGAAUAAACUAAAAAGCAAAAGAGAAAUAUCAGUUGCAGCAAGAACUACGUCAUCUCCACCUCGAUUAUUAUUCAAAUAUUAACACCAAAUGGCACUGAACAGCACAAGAGGAAGCAUCAUCCAUAUUUUAAAUGUAUCUGAAUAGCAUAAAUAUGAAAAUCAUUGCAGAAAGUAAAAGAAAAGAAAAAAGUAAAGAGAAAUUUAUCUCACAGCAUUCCUAUUAUUAAAAAUGUGCUCCGAGAUAUAACUUCAUGCACAUUCAGAAGUUCUCAGGCCAAAGAACAUUAUAGCAACUACAAAAACUCAUGAGCCGGCAGGUCUUGUCCCUGUACAAGGUGAAACAACUAAAAUUAUGCUUUUAAGAACUUUGCAAUAACUAAAAUUAUUACUCAAUACAUAUAGAAAACUUGGGCUCUGGAUACCUAUUUUCCCAAAUCUUGGGGUCUGUUCUUUUCUCCUAAUCAGUGAGGUGCAUGUAAAAUAUAUAUACACAGAGAGAUAGAGAGAGAGAGAGAUUAAUUAGUAUACAUUCCAUUGGUAGAGUUUCUAGCUUAGAAUUUAUAUCACAGGAAUUGCAUAUUGAAUUGAAUACAUAUGAGUGUGUAUUUUUAUUGCGGAGUCUAAUGAUAGAAAGCAGGCUUCAUUCAUUUUCAACAACAAGCAUUGCAAAGUUCAAAAUUUAUAUCACGGUUCAAUCAAUAGGGGAAUUCAUUUCCCAUCAAAACAUAGCAUGUGACAAGAAUGAACUCUAUAUAUAUGUAUAUGUGUGUGUGUGUAUAUAUAUAUAUAUAUAUGUAUGUAUAUAUGAACACAGGAAGAAAAUUAUUUCUAUCUGAAAAUCGAGAUCACUCAACCAAACAAUGGUACCUUCCAAUCUACCUAGUGUAUGUAUAUAGGCAUCCACUGAUUGAUACUUUGAAUUUAAUUAAUAAAUCAACUUCAGGUGUCAUGUUUCCACAUUAAAUAGAGAGAAUAACAAUUAACUAGAUAUGACAGAACUGGUUAAAAAUUUGCUCAAAAUAUACUAAAAAGAUCAAAUUUUAUUAUUUUUUACCUGCUUUCAUGUCUCUCCAAUGUCAGAUCAUGUCCUCAAGCAACUCUUUCGGCUUUCUUCGCCCAUUUUUCUUCUUUUUACAGCAUGAAGCUAAUACAAAGCCAAAUGAAAAAGUAGAGUAGUCAUUUCAAAUUCAAUUUAAUUGUCAAUUGAAAAGUUCAAUUGUUACCUUCGUCAACUGUAGAAUCAAUAGUUAAUGAAAUAUACAAUGAGAAGAGUAAAUAUUAAUAACGCACCAAUAUUACAAAUCAAUAGCUAAGGAUCAAGUGAAAUUUCACCUGCAAAUUAGGACAGCCGAGGAAGCAUCCAUAAACAUCGGAAUAAUUAUAUCACUGAAAUUUCAUUAGAGUAAAUUAGGACAGCAGAGAAAAAAAUAAACAAAGCAAUUUGCAAAGGACAAUUUUUCACCUAAUUUUUGUUAAAAAUAUCAAAAACUAAAUUGAAUUUUUUGGAGAGUAAUCAAGUUAUUUAUUUAAAAUACAUUUUUAAAUAUUUUUUUUAGAGUUUUGAACAAGACAAUUUUUUGAUAAUUGAAAUCAAGUACCAAAAUAUUUUUUAUACUGUUUUAAUUUCUCACUAAGAGUUAACUACGUAUUUUUUUUAGCACUGAUAUAUUAAAUAUUAUCAUUAAUAUACUUAUAUUUAUUUAAAAAAAAUCAAAACGCUAUUUCCUUAAUAUCAUUUAUGCAACAAAAUCAUCAAGGGAGCUUCUGUCUUUGUACACUAAAAAAUUAUAUAUAGUUAAUUCACUUGGUCAAAUAUCCAAAUAGUUGAAGUUAGUUUUUAUUGUUUAUUUGGUAAUGAAAUGGGUGCUAAGUGAGGUCUGGUAAAGCCUGAAGGAAUAAAUAGUGAUUUUAGAUUCAUGUGGGUGCUUUGAAUUAAUCAUUUUGUCAAGUUUCGCACCACCGACCCCAUUAAUUUCUAUCCGUUGCAUUUCAGUCAACAAAGCCAACGAAUAAUAGCUGCGGGCUGUCACAAUGCCUGUCAGUUACAGUGUUAUAUAACUUAGCCGCGGCCUUAGUUAGACUCAGUUCGAGCUCGUCUAAAUUUGGAGGGGCUUUUGGAGGGUUUGGGCCUGCUAUCAAUAGCUAAGGCUUGACCUGAGCUUGAAAAAGCCUAUCCCAGACUCUUAAUUUGCUAUCAUAGUUAGAAAGAAAUCUUUUGUAUGUCGAAAGAUUGGGUCCAGUUAUGUUACAACAGUGGUACGGUAUCACUGUUACUUUCAGUCAUUAGAUCUUAUUAAUACAACUGUACAAUUAUAGAUCUAAUGGCUAAAAGCAGCAGUUGUACCGUACCACUGUUGCAACAUAGUUUUGGCCUAAAAGAUUACACAAGUGGUGGAUUUUUGUUUCUUGACUAAUGUCUUUUUUGACCAUUUUCGUAUUUUGGUACAACUCAGAAGCGUGGCGCUUUACUCAGAUACUUAUCAUUGUUUUUUAUUCUUUUAUUUUGUCUAAGUUAUUACUGUUCAAUAUUCUCACUGUAAGGUUGACUUCAAGGGAUGAAAUCGUUUAGAUUAAAAAAAAAUAAAGGAAAUUCAUUCUCUUCAAUUUUUUUUUAUUUGUACUAAUGUUACAAAUAAAAUAUUAAAUAAUUAUUGAAACUAGUCUAUAUUAACUCAUAUUCGAGAAAUGUCUAUCUACUUACAUUUUGUAAGGAAAAAGAUUCUCUCCACUUAAUUGAAGAAACAAUUCACCACGGAUGCAAUAAUUAUUUCUUUAAUUUAAUGUAUUUUUCGAGCGUCUGGCUACCUUAUUCCUUUGUGCUUCAGUGGGAUGCAAUAACUUUUGCUGAUAGCCUGAUAGGCCCUACAAAUCAUAAUUUAGCAUAGAGAAAUGUUGUUACAUGUAGGGAUGAUAAAAAAGCUCGGGCCAGCCUUGUUCAUUUCCGUGGGCUUUUGCUGAAAUUUCCCACGUGAGGGCUUGGACAAGAGUUAAAGGAAAAAAACCUGGACUAGGUCUAACCCCUCUAUUUAAAAAAUAAUAAUAAUUUUAUAAAUUAAAAUAAAAAAUGGAAAAAUGAAAAAAGAAGGCUUAAAUCCCAAAUUCAUUUAUCAAUAACGAUAAACAAAAACUUAAAAUUAUAAUACUAAACUCUUUUUUAAGUGUUAAUUAAUUAAGAGAGUACUUGAAUUAGAAAAUUAAGUAUUAGAAAAUUAAAUCUCUAAAUUUUUAUUUGCUUUAUUUAAUAUUUUAUUUUGAAAUAUUUAUUUUUUUAAAUUCAUUGUUGAUUAUAACAAUUUGAUGAUUAUUAACUCAUUUUAAGUUUACAACAAUUUAAAAAUUUUGAAAAAAAAGUGAAAGCCCAAGCUCGGCCCAGCUCCACAUGGGCUCGGCCCUUACAUUUCCACUCUAAUGGCUUUGGGCUUGGGCUUGAAAAAACAGAACAUGCUCACAUUUUGCUAUCCUUGCCUGCAUGUAAGUUCAAAGUUGCAAAUUGAUGAAGUGGAAAUAUAGAAGAUUGAUAGAUUAGAAACUAAGUUUCUGAAUAAUGAAAUUUUAUUAGAAAAGUCUGAAUGAAUAAAACGAUAGCUUACCCCUUUUCUACUAAUCCCAAACAUCGAGAAUUUAUCAAAAUAGUAAAAUUUAAAAUAUUAUUUUAUAAUAAAAUUCUCCUAAUCUAAAUAAGAAAAACAAAACAAACGACAUCUAAUUUUGAUAUUUAAAAAAAUAAAAUUCUAAAAAUAAUAGAAAAAUAGAAAAACAACUUAAAACUGCAAAAAGACCAAAAAAAGAAGUAGAAUUUUUUACUUAAUUAUGGAGCAAGACAAGGCAAACAUUCUAAGUUUGAUUAGUCUCGUCGUAACUUUUGAAAUGAUAUAUUAUAUGCCUAAAAUGAACAUAUAAAGCCCAAGUUAUAACUCCUAAAAGAUACCUCCUUCAUGAUGAUCCUACGCAACUAUCUUACGUCGAAAAUGAAUGCAAAAGUUACAUUUCAAAUUAAAUUCAAAACAAUCAAUUCAAGCAUUAAUGCUGAGUUUUUUUAACCAAAAUACUCUAAGGAUUUUAUAAAUUGCUUUCUAAUUUUAUUUUGCAAAACACACCAAAUCAAAGUGAUUUUUCUCUUUUCUCUCAAACAAUUUCAACAUUUUGUAAUAGAGCUGAUGACAGGCAUUAGUAAACAAUGUGCAAUAGUAAUGCACAACAAUAUAGAAAAGCAAAUUGGUAAAGUGUAAACUAUGAAAUGAUAAAAUAGAGCCUUUUUUUUUUAAGAUCACAUGUUAAGUUAUUGGCAUAUUUUGUCAGGAUCAUAUACUUUUUUAGAUCUACGUGCUUUUGGUCAAAUUUAAUAUAAUCAAAAGUUUAAAACUGAAGUCCAUAUUCAAUAAUAAUAAACUAAUAAUAAUAGAUAAUGUAAUACUGACUAUUAAUUUAGAUCCUACGAUAUUAAAAUUCUUUUUUAAUACUUAAUAAAAAUAACAACAAUAAUAAGUUUUUUUUAAGGGUUAACUUAAUUGUUAACUUAGACUUACAUUGAGUCAUAAAUCAUAGUUUAUAACAACAUUAAUGCAUAUAUUCAUAAAAAUCAUGAUAUUUAUAAUUUAUUUAUUAAAAUCAUGAUAUCACCUAUUCAUUUAACAAAUUAUAAACAUAAAACAAUUAGAUUUUUUUUAAAUUAAGAAUUAAAUGAAUCUAAAAAACUUAAGCUAAUAAAAUGCAUUAAAGAUUCAAUUUCAAAUUUUUUUGCAAAAUUAUAAUUAUUCGUAAAAUUAUAAAAUUUCAAGUUUACUUUCAUUAAAAAGUUUUUACCUUAAUAUACUUUGACUCGCAUGUUAUUGAUAACGCAUAAGCCAUGUGCUAAUCCUCCAGUGAAACAUUUUUAUUGCGGUCCUUUUCACGUGCUGUGUUUUAGCCUAUCUUUAAUCAUAUCAUGCUUUUAAGGUCCACUUGCCUAAAAUUCUCAACUCAGCCCAGCCCACGUGCAUGCCAUGCCUCGUCGCUUACCCUACCAAAACGUCCUUGUGCCGUGCCACGCUAAACGGAUAUGUGUCGUGCAUGUGUCGUUCCACCUGUCACCUGGCCCAUUAGUCAUCUCUAGAAAACACCAUAUAUUUAUUUAGCGUGUUGCAAGCACUGUGUCGCAAGUUGCUCAAAUUUCCCGCAAACGGAGGCUAAAUUAGCGCGCACGGGUACGCUCAGUAAAAGUCUGCCCAAUAACGGGAUGCACUCAACAGCAAGGUGCGCUGAGCGAUGGGCUGCCUCAUAUAACUAGUGAGUUAUGGUGCACUUAGUAAGUGAAUAGCCCAUAAUCAACAAGCCUAGCCCAAUUUUCAGAUUUCUCUACACCUUGUAAAUGGCUAGAUUUUUAGGCAAGUUGCAUGAACUCUCUAUGAAAUAAGGGUGAGCACCCACUAUUUGCUCACCACCACACCACACACACAACACCUAGCAACUCAAAAACUCUCGUAAAAAUCUCUCUUAUAAUUUCUCUUUUGUGAGCAAUAAAAUAUUCUUUAGCCAUAUUGCUCUCUUCUCUCUAGCAGUAUUGCAAACAUCCUUACUUGGCUAGUUUGAGAAACUCUUUAGGCUUACUUAACAACUUUUGUACUAGAAGUUAUGUAAGUACUGCACGGGGUUGUUGUGCAAAAUAGUCAUCUCGUGACAACCGGCUUAGUUUUGCUUUGCACAUUUGCGCCCACAAUAAUAAAAGCCAAAAUAAGAUAUCAAAAAAUGUUGGGAUUUGACAUCAAGUAGAAGAGGUUUUGCCCACUCCAAAAUCAUCAAAAUGAUUAAUCAUCUUCUAUAUAACCUGAUGAUUUUUUUAACCUUUGAGAAAGCAACCACAGAGGUGGAACAAACUUCUACUCCUGGGACCUGACAUACGGUUAAUGAAGAAGGGUAAUUUCGUAAAAUUCCAAUCAAAAUUAGAAAAAAGGCAAGCCAUAUUCAAAAGUCAAUCUUGAUCAAACAAACGGCAGGAGGGACAUCUGUAAUUACAGCAUUUUCGAGGAAUUGUUUCUAAAAAUAACUAAAACGGGAAAACCCGAAUGGGAAAAUUGGAAAGCGACAAACACGAAAGUUCAAAGUUUGCUUGGUUGGGCUAUGUUCUGCGAGUGGGAGAGACCGAUUGUAGAAAGGGUUUCUUUUUUUCUUUUUUUUUUCAAAUAGACAUAUAGCCACGUGUUGUCUCAUAUAAAAAAUAAUACUUUAUAUAAGUCCUAGGUCAGUUGGGCUGGAAAACAUUUAAAAUCGAACAUAUCAGGCACGUUGUAAGUUCGCAAUUGGAGAAUCAUGUUGUCAGCCCCGCAACCCCCAAAUGGGAACUUUAGAUAGAAAAAUAUAGCAUCGCAAUGAUAAUAUUUAUUAAUAAUAAAUUUACUUAUUACAAUUGUUCUUGUCAAAGACUCUUUGAUGGUAUUUCAUGUGUUGAAAAAAUAUAAAAUAGUUUCAUUAUCAAUACAAUUAAAAACAUAUUUUUUAAUAUAUACAACUAAAUUAUCACUUGAUUUGUUCUUAAAAUGUUUUAAUAAUAGCAAAAAUAUGGAUAUAAUGCAACAUGAAGAACAAAUAUGAAUACACACACAUUAGGGAAUGGCAAUGGGAAGAAUAGGAGAGGGGACCGACAUCUCCAUACCCAUUUUCGAUAUUCUGUAUAUGUCCUCAUCUCCUCCCCAUUCCAUCAGAAUUACUUGAGAAAAUUUUCAUCCUCUCCCCAAAUAAUAACAGGGGAUUCCUGAGAGUCCCCGAUCUCCAAGUAAUUAAUAUAUUUUUAAUUUUUAAUUUUAAUUAAUUAUAUUAAAAUAAUUUUUUUAAUAAAAGUAGAAUUAAGGCGGUAGCUAGCUACCAUAGAAAAUUAGAAAUUAGGUUUUACGAUUUUGCCUUAAUUUUUGUUUUAUUAGAUAAACGUUUAAAAUAUUUAAUGAAUAUUAUAAAUUAAAAAAAAAAUUGGGCCAACAAGAUCCUGUCUGGCUUUUUUUAUGUCCUGAAUAGAUAUUUAAAAUUAUAACUAGUUAAGCAGGCUCAUUAAAGCAUCUGACAAAUUGUUACAUACAACCAGGAUAAUUAGAGUGCUAAUCAAAUAACCCAAAUUAUAGAUUCCCUAAUCAAACAAACAUAACAAAAAAAUUUUGAAAUGCAAUUUUUUUUUUCAGAAAUGCGAAUUGGCACCAAAUAAAAUUGAGCAAAAGCUAAUGCUGUCCUACAAGUUGACAUGGUCCUCCUUUAGCAAGGUUCAAAUAGGGAAGACCAUAGUAAAAAUAAGAGGAAAUAAUUUAACUUUAUCUAUAAAUCCUACAAUUUAGAUGCUAGUAAAAUAACUCCAAUCUGAAGCAUCAAAUGUACAAGAUUCGCCUCAUCAAAAAAAAAAAAAAAAAUGUAUAAGAUUCGUAAGUAAAAACAGGUUACACGAUUAGUUAUUACCUCGAUUACGUUGUAUAUAUUGCAUGGUAUACCUAAUCAGACAAAUAACGUGGACAUGAAGUGAAUAACUUAAUUUGAAUCUUGCUAUUUUAUUUUAUAAUUUUAAACUAAUUAAUUCAUGCACCCACAUUAUGCUUGCAUUAAGUGGAUACAAUACAACAGAAGUAUUCUACAAUCUCUUAUACGAAGAUUCUUAAUUCAUACUCUUAUUGGGGACUCUUUUUAAAAUUGACCUUUUCAUAAUAUUAUUUGUGAAGUAUAUUUUCAAACUAAUUACAGAAUAAUUUUAAAUUAUUGUAUAAACCGAUGAUUGAUAACACCGGGUAGACUAAUGAGACAAAGUCAAAACCAUUAGCCGGUCCAACAGCUCCACUCAUGUUAGCUUCCGUAAAGCACAACUCUAUCGACUCUCGUGACGUCUAGCAUCUUCGUUUAUAAAUACCCCACCUUCAGCCUCUCGACUCUCUCAAGACACUCCGACAGCAAGACUUCAGUUGGGGUGGGAACCGUUGGUGCUGGAAGAGGUGGUAGUCAUGGAAGCAAACAAUAUGGAGAUAUCGGCGGAGGCUGGUGGCCAGCCCCGCCGGAAGCUAUGAAUAUCCUCAACUGGAAUGUUCGGGGUCUGGGGAAUCCCUGAACAUUUCAAGCCUUAAGAAAAAUCCUCCAAUUGCAUGGUGCUCAGCUGGUGUUUUUGUGUGAAACAAAGGUAUCAACCAUGCAAAUGAAUGUGAUUGCAAAUAAGCUGAGUUUUGAGAAUUGCCUUGCGGUGAACUGUAAUGGAAGAGGAGGCGGAAUAGCAAUGCUCUGGAAGUCAGAUAUUGGGGUGCAAAUCAAUUCAUAUAGUUAGCACCACAUUGAUGCCGAAACUCAAAUGCCAAAUGGAAAUCGAAUGCGAGUUACAGGAGUGUACGGACAUCCGGAAACAGGUUAGAAAAAACACACUUGGAUGCUCCUUAGGCGGCUAGCGGUUUUAUCUUCUAGCCCUUGGUUGUGUUGUGGAGACUUUAAUGAAAUUUUACAUCCGGAAGAGAAGAGUGGCGGCAAUGACAGGAACGUGAAUUUAAUUAAUGAUUUCAGAGAAGUUUUGAGAGAUUGUGGGUUAAAGGAUGUCGGGUAUCGGGGGUAUGCUUUUACUUGGAAUAAUGGAAGAUAUGGGAAGGGAUUCGUUGAAGAAAGGUUAGACAGAUUUGUUUGCACAAAAGCUUGGAGUGACAGAUUUGUGGACUGUGAAGCAAGCAACCUGGACUUCGGAUCAUUGUCCCGUGUUGAUGGCUGUUCAAGUGAGAAGGGAGAGCAUGAACCAAAGGGGUAGACAUUCCUCGCGAAUCCAUUAUGAGGAUAUGUGGAGCUCGUAUGAUGUAUGCAAAGAAAUAAUUAAGGAGGAAUGGAGUUGGUUUAGAAACUGGAGCAGUGAAGAUCCAGCCCAAUCCUUUCGACAAGCAACAAAAGUUUCGAUGGGUAGGCUGUUGGGGUGGAGCAAGCUGGAGUUUAAAAAAGCGUGACAGAAAAUUAGAGAAGCUAAAGAAUCAGCUGCAGUAGUUAAAACAAAGAAGGGUGCAAUAUGAAAGUGGUGAGGAAAUUCGGAAGGUGGAGAAGCAAAUCCAAAAUAUUCUCAUGGAUGAAGAAAUCUACUGGAAGCAACGCUUAAGAGCAGAUUGGCUCAAGGAGGGGGACAAAAACACAAAAUUCUUCCACGGCAAAGCGACGGCAAGAAGAAAAAAAAAACAGAAUUUGGGGGAUUGAAGAUAAUUUCAGGAGAUGGAUUGAGAAGCCAAAAGAAGUAGAGCAUGAGUUUUGCAACUAUUUCACCAAUCUUUUUACAUCAACCCAGCCAAGCCAAGAUCAAAUUGCAGCAGCCUUGGAAGGAAUAACUCCGAGAGUUUCAGCUAGCAUGAAUGAGAGUUUGGGGGAGUCGUUUACAGCCGAGGAAGUCUUGGAAGCUUUGAGUCAAAUGUGCCCAACGAAGGCUCCGGGGCCGGAUGGUUUGCCAGCAGUGUUUUACCAAAAGCAUUGGCAUACGGUUAAGGAGGGAGUGCUCACCACUUUUCUGCAUAUCCUCAAUUCACAAGGUACCAUAGGCCCUCUAAACCACACUUACAUUGCUUUGAUACCAAAAAUCGGAAAGCCUAGGAAAGUGACAGACUUUAGGCCUAUUAGUUUGUGCAAUGUUAUCUAUAGAAUUGUAGCUAAAACAGUUGCUAAUAGAUUUAAGCAAAUUUUGCACAAAAUCAUCUCUUCGUCGCAAAGUGCCUUCAUCCCCAAUAGGUUGAUCACUGACAACAUCAUAGUUGGCUACGAAUGUUUGCACAAGAUAAGGCAUUGUAAAGGCAAGCGAAAUGGAUUAAUUGCAUUAAAGCUUGAUGUUAGUAAAUCUUAUGACAGAUUGGAAUGGAAUUUUUUAGAGCAAACUUUGAAAAAACUAGGCUUCUCGCAUCAAUGGAUUAGCUUGAUCAUGAGGUGCAUUAGUUCGGUUUCAUUUUCUGUGUUAAUAAAUGGCUCAGUGAAAGGCUUAAUUAAACCCAAAAGGGGCUUAAGACAAGGUUGCCCCCUCUCUCUGUAUUUGUUUAUUACAUGUGCAGAGGCUUUUUCCUCAUUGCUGCAGCAGGCUGAGCAACAACGACUUAUUCAUGGGCUAUCAUUUGGAAACGAUUUGAAGAUUUCGCACCUUUUAUUUGCUGAUGACAGCCUUGUCUUCAGCAGAGCUUCCAUGGCCGACUGUCAAAAUUUGAAGAUGAUCCUUGAGCGCUACUCCACAGCUUCCGGUCAAAUUUUUAAUUUCGAGAAAUCUUCUCUUUUUCUCAGUGGCAACGUACAUCAAGAUCAAGCUGAGGCAAUUGGGAAUCUCUUUCAGCUCAAUAUUGUGUCGAGACAUGAAAAAUACUUAGGCUUGCCAUCUAUGAUCGGGAGAAAGAGGAGCAGUUUUUUCAGUGACAUCAAGCUGAAGGUUUUCAAUAAGAUCUCAAGCUGGCAGCAUAAAUUUUUUUCUUGCGGAGGGAAAGAAGUCUUAAUCAAAGCGGCUGUUCAAGCCAUCCCAGCCUACGCAAUGAGCGUUUUUAAAAUUCCGAUGGGUGUUUGUGAUGAUAUUAAAAAAAUGGUGGCAAAGUUUUGGUGGGGCUCCAAGAGGGAAGGGAGGAAUAUUCACUGGGCGAAGUGGGAAAAGAUGAGUCAAGCUAAGUGUAAUGGAGGGAUGGGAUUUCGUGAUUUUUCAAGUUUUAACCGAGCCCUUCUAGCAAAGCAAGGCUGGAGGAUUCAGCACUGUCCAGACUCGCUGGUGGCAAGGGUCCUGCAAGCCAAGUAUUUCCAGUCAAAAAAUUUCUUGGAUGCAAAGCUCGGCUCAAACCCUUCAUAUAUUUGGAGAAGCAUUCUGUGGGGAAGGAAAGUAAUUUGCUCGGGCUCUAGGUGGAGAGUUAGCAAUGGUCAGAAAAUUCAUAUUCAUAAGGCUAAUUGGAUCCCACGGCCUUCCACAUUCCAACCAGUGGUUAAGCCAACUUUGCCUUCUGAUGCUAUGGUCUCUGAAUUAAUCAAUGAGGCAAACUGCUGGGAUAAGAAGAGGAUUUAUGAGCAUUUCGACAAAAUGGAUGCUGAUUUAAUUACUAAGAUUCCUCUGCCUCGAAGACCAAGGGAGGAUGAGCUGAUUUGGCAUUAUGAAAAAAAUGGCCAGUUCUCGGUUAAAAGUGGGUACCAAACAGCUCUCCAAAUAAAGUUUCCAGCCAUGCCUUCAAGCUUAGUGGUUUCCAAAAAUGAGUGGAAUAUUAUUUGGUCCCUUGCUUUGCCUCAAAAGAUCAAAAUUUUUGCCUGGAGAGCAGACAAAAACCAACUCCCCUCAGCUGAGAAUCUGUGGAAGAAAAAGAUAAUCCAGGAACCCACUUGCCAAGUGUGUGAAAUGGGAACGAAAAAUGCUUUUCAUGCUCUUGUGGCCUGCAAAUCGGCUGAGAAGGUAUGGAAGCUAAUCCAUUUUGAAGAUGAUAUUCAUGCAGCUCACAAUCAAGAUAUUUUAAGUUUGCUGCAUGCUAUGAAAAGAAUGAGAAGCAGAGCUGACCUGGAGCUGUUGGCAACAAUUUUUUGGGUAAAAUGGAAUGCUAGGAAUCAGUUGCUUUUCAAAGGAAAAAGGGAGAACCCCCAGAUUAUGGUAGCUAAAGUUGAAGCUAUGAUUGCAGCUUAUAAGAGGGUGCAUUCUCCAGCUGAGGCUUGCAGUGAAACAGAGCAGAGUGUACCUUCCCAGACAUGGAAUCCCUCUCAAGAUGGCUUCAUAAAAGUAAACAUUGAUGCAGCUAUCAGCUUCGAAAAGAACAUUGUAGGGCUGGGGGCAGUGAUCAGAGAUGAUUCGGGGCAUGUUACAGCAGUUGCUAUCAAGGUUUCUAAGUUUCAUGGAGAUGUUUCUUAUGCGGAAGCAGAAGCUAUGGAAUGGGGUAUGUUAGUGGCGAGAGAAGCAAAAGUGAAAGCUGUAAUUGUGGAAUCAGAUUCUCAAAGUGUGGUCAGUUUAGUUAACAACAAGCAGGGCAGCAGAUCCGAGAUCUAUUGGGUUGUUUCAGAAAUUCAGAAGGUAGCGGAAAACUUCGAACGUGUUAGUAUUAAGUAUACGCCUAGAUCUUGUAAUGUUAUUGCCCACUCUUUAGCUAAGUUAGCUUUAGAGAAGUGCGAGACUGUUGUGUGGAAGGGUUCAUACCCUUUACAAGUGAUGUAUCUCCUUUCAUCGUUGAUUUAAUUGAAAUCUCUUUUCAAAAAAAAAAAAAAAAAAAAGACACUCCAAAAAAAACUCCAAAGUCCAACAACAACAUUUUACAAUCUCUCUCAAUUUUUCUCGCUUCAGUUUACCAUCCUCGAACACGAACACGAACACGAACAUGAAUUAAGUUAAUUAGUUUAUGGAACACAAACUCAUCAUCAACAUCAUGUCCUAAUUGAAAAAGAAGGAUUGCGAGGGAAACUAAGCAUGUGCCUUCAUUUUCACUUGAAAUAAAGCGCGAUGGAAAGAUCUUAUGUUAUCACAUGAUGCCGUGUGAUCACCUAGAAGCCCUUCCACGCACAUUUCUUCUCAAAUUGUCUUCUUCUAAUUUCUUGGGUCACCGCGAAACCACAAUGUCAAUGCGAGGAUGAGCGAGUGUUGUUCAGCUUGUAGUUUUUGGAGCCGGUCCUGGGCUUUCUUUAUUUUUUUCAUCUUCUGCUGGUAGGCAUCGCCAAAAGGCAAAGAGAAUCCUCUGGUGUUCGUGGAGUUGGUCCUCGAUGCGAUUGAUUUCUUCUCCAAGUUGAGCAAGCCUUUGUGCCAUAGCCAUCAUUAUUUGCUUUCGAUCGAGCACUUUUCAUCUGCAACCAAAUGUUUCAUCAAUAUUUUGAAGUAUACACACUUGUUUCAACAGCUAUCCGGAUCACGUUAAAAGACAAUUUUGCCCUCACUUAAAGUGUAAAAUCACUAAAAAAGCCACAACAGUAGUUUCAAAUUCCAAUUGACUUGGGUGGAUAUUAAAAUUUCUUAAAGGUUAAAAAAAAAGUAAAAAUGUUUUGUUAUGGGAAUUGAAAUAUCCCCUAUAUCUUCAUCCAUAAUCGUCUAUCCAUGAUAACAAUUUAAUAAACUUGAAAAAGCAAGAUAUCCAAUCCCAGUGAAUCAAACAGCCAAUUUUCUUCAUAAAGUUUAGCUUUUGCUUUUAAAAAUUUUAACUCUUGAGACCUUAAAUAAACUCAUAUUCAAAUUUACAUUUUCUAUAAUGAAAAUCUUCAAUUUACCCUUUUAAUAUUUUGAAAAACGGGUCCAGCUACAAUACAAUUGUAGUUUCAUACCUAUUUUUUUGUCUUUUUGUGAUCCAACCAUUGGAUCCAACCUAAGAGUUGCAAAGUCUAUUCCAACAACUUGGAUGUUAUUAUUUGGUUAUCAACAAUAUGGUCCCUUAUGUUUACUAAAAGAAUAAGAAAAAAUUAAAUUUCAAAAUUUUGACACAUUGGUCCGUUAAAAUAUUUUAUUAUCAAAGGUAAUUUAGUAAAUGAACAUAUUUAUAUAUUAAAAACAUGGAUGAAUUAUUUUAACUUGCUAAAAUACUCUCAAAUUCCAUUUACUUAAAAUACGAAUUAGAUUUAAUAAUACUAUUUUGUAUUUAGUGUAACACAAAAUUAGACAAGUUUUUAUAUAAAUUUUGACAAUAUUAAAAUGAAAAAUAAAUAAAUAUUAAACAAAUGCUUGGAUAGUCAUUUAAAUUCAUUAUAGAGCUUAUAAAUAAUAUUUUCAAAAUAAUAAAUUUCUAUAUGUAAAUUUGAAAUUAUGUAAAAUUACUUAGACUUUAUCACACAUAUGAAGCUGAUCAAUUAUUUAUUUGAUCUGAAAAUAAAUUAAUUGUAUAAUAUUUAUUCUAUUACUUAAAUUUAAAAUUUGUUGAGAAGGAGAUAGAGAGAAUAUUUUUUUUAGAAUUUUAAAUUAUUAUAUUUUAAUUGGGUUUAUUACAUAAAAUUAAGUUUUUAUUAUUUGCAUAAAACAAUAGGAAUUGUUGAAGAAAAUGCCAAAUAAAUUUUUUAGAAUUUUGAAAUUAUUAUAUUUUAAUUGGGGCUUAUUGUAUAAAAUUUUUAAAACUUAUAAUUUUUAUUAUUUACAGAAAACUACAGGGACUGCUAAAGAAAAUAUCAAAAUAGUGUUUGGUACAACGGGGUAAGAUAGUUUUGCUCUUGAAAAACAUUAAUUUACUUCUAUUUAUCAGUCAAAAGACUAAAAUAAAUGGAGAUAUGAUGAUGAUAAACUUUUUAACUUUUUAGUGGUAUUUGAUAAAUAUAAAUAAAUUGAAAAUUCUCGCUUUUACUUUUUAUUGGGCAUAAGUUAAAAAUCUUACUCUCUAUUUAUUAUGCUUUAACAAGAGAAAGAAAGAAAACGGAAAACAAAUCUCUUCUAUAGCAGUCUUAAAAAAAUUUUCAGCUGAGACUUAACCCAUAAAUUUUUAAAAACUUUUUGGUGGAUUCAUAUACAUUGAACUAGUCUUCUUUCUAUAUUACAUGGAUUAAAUUUUGAAAUUAGGGCAACCUAUUGUUAAAUCUGCCUUUCAAAUUAUUGACUUAAUAUUGCCCAAAAAAAAAAAAAAAAAUUUUCCUAUUACAGAAUUUUUCAUUGUUGCAGGAAACUGGAGUCGCAGCUGACAGUGCUCAAGGGCAAUCCUUAAAUUAAAUUUCAUUGCAAUCUUUGAAAUUUAAAUUAUUUGAGAAAAAAAAAAUCUUUGCAUAAUAUUGAACAACGCAUUUUCUUGUAUAAUAUCAAUGAAACAAUGCAUGUGAGGGGAAUAAAAAGAAUAAGACAGUAAUUAGCACUAUUUCAAGCAAAGAAAUCUGGGCACUAAUAUAUUUUCUCUGUUACUUUGCAAAAUUACUGCAUGUACAUGAGAUGAUUGCUUGCUACUGUAGUAUUGUGUAAGGUGAAACAUUUGAAGAAGAAUCCUUCUAAACUGGUAGUGUUGGUCGUUGUUGUCCUGCCGAGGAAGUGUCAUUAGAUUGAAACCUACUGCAAAUAUUGAUACAAAAUGGCUUCAAGGUUUCGUUGUAGAGCUGACGACAAGCUUCUGUAAGCAGCGCCCCAUAUUGAUGCACAACAAUGAUAAUGGACGAGCAAAGCCAUGCAGUGUACAAUAUGAUAUGACCAAUAUCAGAGCGUGGAACAAAUGUGGAGGCUAGCGAGACUGCAGAAACAGAUCCGGAGACUCGUGCUACAAGGGCCCAAGAUUGGGAAGAAUUCUCUUGAUGAGCUAAAUGUGCAUAACAAUAAAUGGCUGUGGUUAUGAGAAAAGACCAUAUAUUUGUUGUGUGUGUUUCAAGCAAGCGCUCAGUUGUGCCUUGCGUAUUUGCUCCCACGAUGCCGAUGAGAGCUGGAAUGAGAUAUCCAAACACGUUAUGGUAUGCGUUUGACAUCGCAGAUAAAUAAAAUUUGUUCCUGCAGAACCAUUAAAAUACUAUAUUAAGGAAAGUAUUAGAUCCAUUCCUUUAGAAAAACAGGAAUUUAAGAGAUCAUUAUGUAUUUAGUCUCAUUUAAUAUUAGUUUAAUUUUUUCAAGUCAUAGUUAUUGUGAAAAAAAAAUUAUUAAAUACUUUUAUUGAUUGGUAAGGAUUUAAAAAGGAAAUUUGGGAUUUUUUUUUUGUUUUCUUGUGAACAUUGACGGUAUAUAUGUAGGGUAAAGUUUUAUUUUUAAAUACACGUUGUGGCUCAGGUCAGAGAGAGAAGGGAGACGGUCAAGAUUGCUGGGUUGACUUUCUUUUCCCGUCAGCCAUUUUGUAAUAGAUUGAUCAGAGCAAUCAUUACCUGCAAAACUUAACACAGCACCAAAUUAACAACCAACAUUUCAAUUGAAACAAAUCUACUUGAAAAUAAAAGAAAAAGCAACUCCAAAUCAAAAUCGAAAUGAAACCUUAUCAGAGAGACAGCCGCAAGUAUGAAGAGACAAGCACGAUCCUGAAGGACUAUUACUCCAAAUCAAAAUCGAAUUAUAAGAGAGAAAGCCGCAAGUACGAAGAGAGAAGCGCGAUCCUAAAAGAUCUGAAGUCGUGUUGUAUAUAUGUCUUGUAUAGAUUGACAGAGCAAUCAAAGGCCGUGUCGACCAGAGCAAUCGAAGAGUAGAAGAGAUAAGAGAGGAAAAAAGAAGAAGAGGAGAACUGCAGCAGCAAAUGAGCAAGGGCAGUAUUUAUAGGACAAACUGAGGCCUAUAAAGGGUCCACUAGUGGACCAGAGCAAUCAAAUGUGGAUUUGAGACUAAAUAUCGACGAAGCUUUUGUGUAUAUAUUGUUUUCGUGAACUUCUCAUCUUUUAUUUAAUUGAAUUGAUAAAGGUAAUGCGAUGGAGUUGGAGUUUUACAAAGUAACUCCAAAUUUUACAAAGUAACAUCGAUAAAGUAGUAACAUCGAUAAAGUAACAUCGAUAAAGUAAUAUUGUAAGUAAGGAAAAAAGCCAAUAUUUUCCAUGUUAGGAACAUCGAUAAAGUAGUAUCAUGAUCUUCAAAUUCAAUAAUUCGGUACUGGAUUUUUUAAUAGCUGAUGGUGGUGGAAUUUCUGCAUGAAAAAGGUAGGAUAUAAACCAGAAAAAUCAAUAAAGCAUGUCAUGCAUGUUACAUUGCUACUCCAAGCGAGUAAAUUUUUCUACAUCGGAUAUGACUUGUUACGAUCAAGUUAAUAAAAGUUCAAAUCAAGAAAGAAAUCUCGACGUAGACUAUGUCGUGGACAGCGGGACACGUAUGAUGAAUCAGAUGCUGGUUACUCUUCAUAUAGUUCCUGUACAACAUAAUGAUUACUUACAAUAUUACUUUAUCGAUGUUACUUUAUCGAUGUUACUACUUUAUCGAUGUUACUUACUUUAUCGAUGUUACUACUUUAUCGAUGUUACUUUUCAAGUAGAUUUGUUUCAAUUGAAAUGUUGGUUGUUAAUUUGGUGUUGUGUUAAGUUUUGCAGGUAAUGAUUGCUCUGAUCAAUCUAUUACAAAAUGGCUGACGGGAAAAGAAAGUCAACCCAGCAAUCUUGACCGUCUCCCUUCUCUCUCUGAACUGAGCCACAACGUGUAUUUAAAAAUAAAACUUUACCCUACAUAUAUACCGUCAAUGUUCACAAGAAAACAAAAAAAAAAUCCCAAAUUUCCUUUUUAAAUUCUUACCAAUCAAUAAAAGUAUUUGAUAAUUAUUUUUUUUCACAAUAACUAUGACUCGAAAAAAUUAAACUAAUAUUAAAUGAGACUAAAUACAUAAUGAUCUCUUAAAUUCCUGUUUUUCUAAAGGAAUGGAUCUAAUACUUUCCGUAAUAUAGUAUUUUAAUGGUUCUGCAAGAACAAAUUUUAUUUAUCUGCGAUGUCAAACGCAUACCAUAACGUGUUUGGAUAUCUCAUUCCAGCUCUCAUCGGCAUUGUGGGAGCAAAUAUGCAAGGCACAAAUGAGCGCUUGCUUGAAACACACACAACAAAUAUAUGGUCUUUUCUCAUAACCACAGCCAUUUAUUGUUAUGCACAUUUAGCUCAUCAAGAGAAUUCUUCCCAAUCUUGGGCCCUUGUAGCACGAGUCUCCGGAUCUGUUUCUGCAGUCUCCUUGAUCUCCACAUUUGUUCCACGCUCUGAUAUUGGUCAUAUCAUAUUGUACACUGCAUGGCUUUGCUCGUCCAUUAUCAUUGUUGUGCAUCAAUAUGGGGCGCGGUUUACAGAAGCUUGUCGUCAGCUCUACAAUGAAACCUUGAAGCCAUUUUGCAGUCAGCUCUAUAACGAAACCUUGAAGCCAUUUUGUAUCAAUAUUUGCAGUAGGUUUCAAUCUAAUGACACUUCCUCGGCAGGACAACAACGACCAACACUACCAGUUUAGAAGGAUUCUUCUUCAAAUGUUUCACCUUACACAGUACUACAGUAGCAAGCAAUCAUCUCAUGUACACGCAGUAAUUUUGAAAAGUAACAGAGAAAUCAUAUUAGUGUCCAGAUUUCUUUGCUUGAAAUAGUGCUAAUUACUGUCUUAUUCUUUUUAUUCCCCUCACAUGCAUUGUUUCAUUGAUAUUAUACAAGAAAAUGCGUUGUUCAAUAUUAUGCAAAGAUUUUUUUUUUCUCAAAUAAUUUAAAUUUCAAAGAUUGCAAUGAAAUUUAAUUUAAGGAUUGCCCUUGAGCACUGUCAGCUGCGACUCCAGCUUCCUGCAACAAUGAAAAAUUCUGUAAUAGGUAAAAAGUCUCUUUUUUGGCAAUAUUAAGUCAAUAAUUUGAAAGGCAGAUGUAACAACAGGUUGGCCUAAUUUCAAAAUUUAAUCCAUGUAAUAUAGAAAGAAGACUAGUUCAAUGUAUAUGAAUCCACCAAAAA
rnacentral:lncRNA from 1 species